UAGGGCUUCAUACCUCACACCACCACCACCACAACCAGGAGCUCCUCCAUUGAUCUCUGUAACACCAGAAUGACCACCACCAUCAGCAGCAGCAGCAGCAUGUCAUAUGCCGUGGGCGCGAUGCAAAUGCAGUAGCGUUAGGUUUCUGAUUCACCUGUUGUAAAAACUUAGAGUUAGCCCGCAGUCAGCAGUAGCUCAGCCAGCCAGCCAUCUCUCAGCCUGAUCCCCAACCUCACUGUAACCGUCGUUAGUUAACAACAUCUCAUUUCCGUAGGCUCUAGCUUGAUUAGCAGCUCGGUUAUCUUCUGUAUCCCGGUCCUCCAUCAAUGAAUGAAUCAGAGCUAGAUUUAUUUUCACCCCACUCUCAAUCUCCAUCUCUGCAGUGCUGUGACUGUGACUGUGUGUGAUUCGUGCAUGCAUGGAAUGGAUGGGGUGGGAACUUGUCAUCAUCUUGUCUGAAAAGCUGGGGUGGCGUUGGACUGCUUUCUUGGUGGUGAUCAAGCGGCAAGCAAGUUGAUGCGGGAGGGCUUGGAUGGAUUCCACUAGGCACUAGGCUACUAUAGCUGCAUCGUGUGUGUGAUUGGACCUGUGUGGUUACUGUUGUGCACUUGUGUGCCCUUUGCUUUGCAGUAAGCUGAGUGGAUGCUGGUCGUGGUCGUGGUCAUGGUGGAAGCUGUGAGACUGAUGGGAAGCCAAAGCUUGGACUGUUUGUGUGGCGAGUUGAUGGCGCUCAUCAUGGAUGGUCUUCUUACCGAAUCAUCCUUUCUUUCUUGGCAGCAGGCACUUGUUACCCAGCAGGUGAACUGGUAACAAAGUUGCUCUUUUUGGCCUACCCGUGCGCCGGGAGAGGUCGGGUUUUCCAACCCGCUCCUUUUACCUCCAUCCAUGCUAGGAAGGUGCCCACUGUCCUUUUCACUUGAGCCUUUUUUACCAUCUGCUUUAUUAGUUCUGGUGCUUGUUUAAUCAAAGCAGCAGCAGCAGCAUCAGGAUGCCAGGAUUGCAUUGCAUUGCUGCCUGGAAUCGCUGCCUCCCUUGUUGCGGGGUAACUCUGGGAAUGCAGGCCUCGAUAAAACCAAGAGUACCAACAUUGCUAAUGCAGGGACGCUUAACUUUGUCCCGCUCCCUGCCUCGCUCGCAGUCCUCUCUGCAACUGCAACGCCGAGUUUUAAAAUUAGUUUUUUGGUGGAAACCACUACAGUGGUUUUUACGCAAGUCUCGCCCGAAUAAAAUCACCUACACGCCGGAUUUUUCUACGGUACGUGUCCCCUGAAUUGUGCUCCCUCCGUUCCUAAAUAGUAAUGCCUUGUUAAACUAACGUAAAAGCGUUUAGAUCACUAAAGUAGUUUACAGAGGGAGUUUUUGUUUUUUGAGAUUUUAAUUUGAACUACUCCCUCCGUUCCAUAAUGUAAUACGUUUUUUGAGGGACGAAGGGAGUACAUACGGAGCAAAAUGAACGUAUCUAUACUCCAAAACACGUCUAUAUACAUCCGUGUGUAGUUUUUAUUGAGAUCCUUAAAAGGACUUGUAUUUAGAAACGGAGGGAGUACUAUAUAGAACUGGCUCUGAGAAUUUCCAUGAAAUCAUCCCUUUUUUCUGUUGGACGGCUCCGUUUGUACACACUUCUCCUCUUUUGACAAGUCCAAUUAAAUAUUACUUCCGUUCUAAAAUAUUUGUGUUCGAGUCGUCUAGACGUACAUGGAUCUAACACUACAUCCGUAUCGAGGCUAAUUUAUUAAAACAAGUAAUUCAGGACGGAGAGGGUAUAAAUUUGGGGUUUUGGAUGCAUCAGGUCAGUCAUUUUUGCUGUGUCGGUCUGUGUGGUGCUAUCCGAAACAGUCAUUGUCCGUCUUGGAGAUGCUGAGAAUCCUUGAGAGCAGAGAGCACAGCACCGCCUGUUUGUUUAUGCGAUCCGGGUCAGGGUCAGGUGACGGGACGUCUCCAUCCCUCCCUCCGGCUUUUUGGACGUCUACUGUGCGUACGUGCGCGGGCUAAUCGAUAAUCAGUGUGUCAGUCAGUGGUAAGUAAUCAGUGAGCGCCGCAGGCUUUGUUUGUUUAAGCUAGUGGAGCUGCAUGCGGCUGAGGCGCUGCUGGCCUGGCCUCCUCAACGCCCUCAGUGUUACCACUGCUGAUGAUGAGCAUGAGCAUGAGCAGCUUAGUACUAAUGCGUUGAUCGGCAAGCACUAGUAACACUGCGCUGACUGUUGAAAGAGAUAGAUUGGGUACUGGGGAGUUGUCGCUGACAUGACGGCACAUCCAUCAGGAGAAUACGGCUGUUCAUCUCCCAUGUAAAUUUCUUCGGUCCACAAGUUGGUGACCUCUGCUCUACUACCGGAGGAAGUAAGUAGUCUUGUGCAGGGCAAAAGGAUUGUGAUGCGGUGCCGCCUCCUGGUUGUGGUUGGUGCUCUGCUCAUCAUCGGUUCCAACUUGUUGCACCCAAAGGUGGCCACUAUCACGUUUGUGACCAGACAAAAGUUGACUCUUUUGUGUAAAUAAGGGUUCUGGACAGUGUGUGUGGCGAAGCCAGGAUCGGGCCAGGGCCCGGGCCGGUUUCACUCUACUGUAGGAGCUUGUUUACAGGCAUUGGACAAGAGUGCUUCCGACCCCGGGCCGUGUCACAGAAAUUUAGAGUUCCAUCAAGUGGAGUACUCCUAGUAAAGUAAUGAUAACAAGGCCAUGGCUUUUCACAACAUUGGCCAACUCCACCAUGCGACAUCAUCCUGUCCGCGCGCGUCCGUUUGGGGUAAAACAAACGAACCAGGCGGCCCAGCGCACGGGCGCAAACGUACUUUUGUCCGCUUUCGACCCAUCCUCGGCCCAAAUUUGCGCCGCUUUUGGGGUGAAACGGACAGCACGCGGACGCGGGGGCCGUCUGCGCGUGUCCUCCCCUGGCCCGCCCGUCGAUAGUACAGGGGCGCCUUUUUCUAUCCGCUCCCUCCCUCCGGCCGCACGCCCUCCACUCUUCCCCACUAUUCCCUCGCCGCCGCCGCCAAGCUGUGCAGCUCGGACGCGCGCUCGCCCAGCCCCUUCCCCUCGGCGCCCCCGAGCUACCCAACCACGGCCACCUGAUUUGCGCACCCGCCGGCCGAAUUUGGGACGGAUCCGGUCGGUCUUGAGCUCGCCCGGCUGUGGGAGGCCGCGCCGGCCAUGGACUGGCGGGCACCGGGCCGGAAGGCCCUGGUAGGGCCGCAAGGCCACAUGCAGGCAGUGGCUCCUCCUCUAGCCGCUCGGAUCUACAUCGCCGUUGGUCCGCCGGCAGAUUCACGAAUGGCGGUCGACCGGGCUCGGUGCUAGCCCAAAAGCUCGUCGGCGCACCGUUGCCACUCAUUAAGUGUGACCACUGCCCAAAGAAGGUCGUGCGCCGCGUGUCUACAACGCCGGAACAUCCCGGAUGGGUGUUCAUCAAGUGCUUAAACAAUGGGGUAUGUGCUCUUUUUAGCUUCGGUUUGUUCUCUAGAUUUGACUAGUUGUGCUAACUUCAAAUUUUGUUGUGUAGAAUGGAUGCAAGUUUUGGUACGGGAAGAAGAGUACAUCGAUAUAUUGAUAGAGCGCAAUUUAGUAGAUGUUCGUGCACUUUUAGCUAGCAUAGAGGCUGUAGAUAAGACAAGUGCACUUGUUGCUAGAUUAGAGGCUAGACACGAGACUAGAUGCGAGGAAGCAACCUCUACUUCCUUAGACUCGAAGAAGAAAGAAACACGCAAUAUGGAGGCGGCUCCUCCGCAGAUCAACAAUGAAUGCAUCGAGAAGACACUAAUCCAACUUACAGGAGCAGUUAUGGAAGUUGGAUAUUUUCUAAAAUGUAUUCUUGUGGUUCUUGCUUUCUUUGGUCUUACUUUUAUAGUCAAAAUUUGGUGAUGUAUUUCCAUAUACCAAAAAUGAAUGAUGAAAAAAAAUUUAAGGGCUUGCAAAGGAAAAAGUACACGGACAGGAUGCGGCCGGGAUGCGUCCGCAUGUUGGGCGCACGCCAUCGCAUCCCAGAAAUGGCCCGGACACGACCCUAUUGCCUUACCUAAACGGACAGAAUUCGGAUAAAACGGACGUCCGUUUGGGGACGCGCGGUGGAGUUGGCCUUAAAAAAGGGCUCAACUUCUAUGGGAGGAAUGGGACGCUCACUGUGGUGCAUUCAAGAAAGGCCUGGCAUCCUAUUCUGAAUUUCUGACAGCAGGAGGUACUCCUACUGCAUGGGUGUGUGACACGAGUUUCAAGUGAGCAGUGGAUGAUGGGCAUUACAAUGAGGCAACGCUGCAGUACCAAUUGUAGGUGCCUCCAACGCCAGCGAGGGACACUGCAUUAGCAGGAACCAGGAGCUAUCGAUCCUAGAGCAACUCUAGGGUGUGUUUGGUUGCCCGCAUGCAGUCCAACCAAGCCCGCGCGGGAUGUGCGCGGCCUGUUUGGUUGCCUGGGCUGCAUGCGGUUUGAUGCCCGCACGGAUCUUAAAGCAGCCCGCAGCCUGGCCCGGCGGAAACUACCGAAUCGGCAGUUUCUCGCGAGCCUGGCUGGGCGCGGCAACGCGUGCGAGGCAGUUGCAUGCCUCGGGCAGCGCGGGAGACGGAGGGGACGUCUCAUAACUCGCCCCCACUCUCCUAUCACCGCCCAGUCGCACUGUUCCCACCGCUCCCUCUCUCCCUCACCGCCCCUCCCUCUCCUCUCCUCCGAUAGCUCCGCCUCGCCCACCGCCGCGCCGCCCUCUGACCCCCAUCGACCAGCGCAUCGCCAGCAUCCAGGAGCGAUGGCUGGUCGGGCUCCAGAACUCGAGCCGGGACCUGGCGUCGGCGCUACGAGCGCCGUCCCCCAUCUGCUGCCGGACACCACCAGCGUCGGCCAAUGCGGUGCCGGUCGCUCCUGCUCCGCCGCCGAUUCCGGACCUCGUUGUCCUGGGCUCGGCGCCGGCGCCGUUUAUGGAGCCGCUUGUUCUUGGGACCCCAUUGGGCAGGGGGGUUUCUUGACCCCCGUCCAAGGGUUUCUCCUGUUGGCGGGUCGUCCUUCUCGAGCUCCGGCGUGGCGAUGAUCACGGGGCAGAUGCCGCAGGCCGUCGCCAGGGCCGGCUCCUCCUCUGCUCUGCCACCUCUCUCCUUCCCGCCGGGGUUUUCGCCCCGGCCUCGGUUCGCUGCGGCUGCGCGUGCUCCGGUGAGUCAAACCCCCUCAAUGCUUCCUCAUAGAUGUAGAUUAGGGGUUUAUUUCUUAGGCAUGUGCUAGUAGUUAGUGGAUUCGAUAGGAUUCUAGCAGAUCCGAUUGGAUGCGAUCCCAAUCGAAUCCAAUCGGACUGAUCUGUUCUUGUUUUGUACAGUGUGUGUCCUAGGAUAAUUUUCUUGUGCUACUGGAUCUGUGUUCAUGCUAGUAGCUGUGUUCAUGCUAGAAUCCCCAAUGAUAGUGUGCUUUGCUAGGAUGUGUGUUCAUGGUAGGGUCUUGCUAGGAUGUGUGUUCAUGCAAAUGGCAUGUUCAUGUUCAAGCUAGGAUCAUGUUCAUGUUGUUGUUCAUGUUGCUAACAUACAUGUUCAAGCUAGGGUUUGUGUUGAAUGUUAUACGUGCAUGUAGUAGGAUCAUUUUAGGAUGCUGCCAAAUGUGCAUGGCUGCACAUGGGUGCUAUUGGCACUUGUUGUUGCUAUUUUUAGACGUUUCCAUGUUUAGGAUAGUGCACUGAUGAGUGGCAGUUGCAGCAAAGCAGAUGCCACUGAUCAGUGGACUUUCCCAACAGCAAGUCCACUGAUAAUUGGCAUUUGCCUAACAACGAGUGCCAUUGAGAAGUGCCACUGAUUAGUGGCAUUUGCCUAACAGCAAGUGCCAUUGAUAAGUGGCAUUUGCUCAAAGAGUUUGUGCACUGAUCAGCGGCAUUUUCUCUUGGGCAAAUGUCUCUGAUCAGUGCCAUUUUACAAAGAGUUUGUGCACUAAUACUUGUCAUCUUACCUGACAAGAUAUUGAAGACUGACUGGGAUGUGGCGGAGGGGGAGCUCAGGUGGUGGCCGGAGUUGAGGGCGCCGAGGAUUUCAUCCCCACGAACAGGUGGCUCGGGAUGGUGGACCUGCCUGGCAGAAUCGCCUUCAUGAGCCUGUCUCGUUCAAGGGGACGAUCUCCGAGGCAGGGCCACAAGGAGGGGGCCAGGGAGCCGCCGCGCUUCUACCAGCAGAUCAAGGACAACGAGGACCUCGCCAUGCUCGUCGUCCCUCGCAAGUUCGUGGAGGUGAUGAACACCUAGCUGGUCAUCAAGCGGCUCCCGCACGUGGUCAGGCUGUCGGCGAACAAGCGGUGCGUGUUCUGGGUGCAGGUCUAGAACUUCAAGGGGCACAUGGUGCUUGGCCGGGGCUGAAACUAUUUCUGUCGCCGCCACCAGAUCAUCCCCGGCGACCUCGUUGUUGUGCGCAUCUCAGGACUCGGACAGAAGAUUCAGAUCUACAACCACGACUCCUCGGUCAUGUGCAGGUUUCGUCGCAGCAGGCACAAUUGCGUUGGUAACACCGAGCAUGCUAUGUAGUUAAGUUAAGUAAGGUGUUAGUGUUGAACUUUUAUGGUGUGGCGAGACUUGUGCUGGGAACUUGUUCAUAUUUUGGCCAGGAGUAGCACCCUGGCUUGGAGCAGGGAAGGAGGAUGCCCCUGCUGUUAAUCUAGACUUAUGCUAUGUAGUUAAGUAGUUUGCUGUCAUUUCCUUGCUUGCUGUGUUUGAUUUCAUUUGGGUGCUUGCUUUGUUUGCUCUUGCUGUUGUGCUGAUCAUGUGGUGGUAAGGCCACCACAUUUGAAUGGGGUGAGCAGAACACAAACGCUGUUUGAAACCAAACAGCUGAAGUUUGCAUCUGCUCACACCCUAAGCACAAAAACGACAACCAAACAGCGGGCGGGUAAGUGCCCCUCCAUGCGAUGCAGGCAACGAAACAGGUUGCAUCUGCUGCAUAUGAGGCUGCAUUUCAAGAACCAGACUGGCUGGAGAUGGACAUGCAAUGCAAAUACUGUUGCAAACUGCAACCAAACACGCCCCUAGUGAAUGGCGUGAAGAGCCUUAGGUUUAUCUGCUGGGGGUUUCUGAUUCUGAAGAAGAAACCAGGCGAUGAAAGCUAUAUAUGUAUGUAUUAGUAGUGUUUAUGUAGGAGAGGGGAAGCAUAUGGCGGCCAUGGGCGUGGGCAUGGAUGGACUGGAUGUGAUGUAAUGGCAGCCUGGACCGCCUUGCCUGAACCUGGACCUGGACCUGGAGAUGGACAAGCAAGUAGAGUAGUUCGUACGCCCACCAAGUCUCACAAUUGCUGCAUUGUCUCUCUGAUUGUGCGGUGCCUCCGCCCGCUGCUCGCGCGUGCGUCAAUCAUCACGCGCGACAUGGGACGGGAGUGUUGAAAACCCACCCGGUGGUGUUGAUCGUUGCAGCAGAGGCAGAGCAGAGGGGAUACCACUGCUUCGUCAUUGGCAUUGUGGGUUUCAGAGCCCCCUCCUUGUUUGAUCCUUGGUCCGCCUAGCGCCCUAGCAGGCAGAGCAGGAUUUGGGUGCUGCGGCCACGGAAGGAACUGCGGUUGUCAUGCAUGGCGCCGUCGUCCCGCGUGAAUGAAAAUCGUUGGGCUGCAAGGACAACGAGCAGCGGCUGGCUGCACGGCCGUGCUUUGGCUGCGUGGCUGGGAGAGAUAGCAGGGAGCCCUCGAGGCACGUCCGUCCGGCCGGCAGCCCGCGGUGCAUGGACGGGACGGCGGCUCGACGGAAAUGCGGGUGCUGGCAGGACACAGGCUGCCGCUCCCCGGUGCCUGCAAGCUGUGCCGUUUGAUAGAUUUUCACAGCGGAGGGUGGAGAAGUGAAGUGGACGGAGGAGAGACACAUGUCAUAACAGUCAAACAUAAUAACGGUCAACCAAAUUUAGUAGUGCUUCCGUGAGGUGGGAAGCCAAAGCUUGGACUAUCUGUGUGGGCGAGUGGAUGUGCACUCGCGCCCGUGCACUGGUAAAUAAAAGUUGCUGCUCUUUUUGUUGGGUCGGGACUCGGGAGAGGUUUUCCAUGCUCCUUUUCACUUGAGCCUUUUUUACCAUCUGCUUUAGUUCUAGUGCUUGUUUAAUCAGUUGAACCUUUCUACCAGCUGAUUAAACAAGCAGCACCAUGCCAGCAUUGCUGCCUGGAAUUGCUGAUUGUUAUGGGGUAAUUUGUACGUUCCGUCUGACUUUCUUCAGAUAAAACCAACCAAACCACACUGCUAAUGGACGGACGGACGGACGCUUAACUUUGACCCGCUUGCUCGCUCGCUCAUAGUCCUUUCUGCAACGCUCAAUUUAUAAAUUUUGUUUCGCUGGAGGACACGCACAUUCCCGAGAAGGUUGAUGCUAGUGAUGGAGCAUCCAGGAGCAAUCCGUUGUGCCGGAGUGGAAGUCGAUGACCACUACAGUACCCAGUUGAUUGUGCCUGAAUGCACUUCUGCUUUGCCCGCACAUCCGAGUUAUUUACCCAUCCUGCUGUCACUCAUCUUGAGCUGCUACUUGUUAAGUACGUACGUACGUAGCAUUUCUUGGGCUGGACUGCGUGAGCGUGAGGGAGGCUUAUCGUCGUCUGGGUGUGGCCAGCACUCCAGCAGUGCCCGUGUAUGUAGGCAGAAGAAGCAGCGGUCCGGUACUCCGAUCAGCGCUCAGCAGGGAGGGCACUUGGCGACAUUUGAUCUUGAAAGUCGCAGCAGGCAGGCUCAGUGUCAGCUCUUCGAGUGCCGCCCCACCCACCGGCUCGCUGCAAUGAAAAGAAACAUCGCCGCCCAUGUAUGGUACAAAAUUUGGCGGUCCAAAACCGGAGAUGUAAAAUUUGGACCGUCAAAAAGUGCGUUUUGAAGCUCCGAAAAAAGCUUAACUCCAACAGAUGGUCCAAAUUGAUGGUCUAAAAAAGCAACUCCAAUAGAUGGUCCAAAAUGAAGAUGUAAAUUUCUUAAAACGACAAACUACUAGUCCAUUCAACAUAGUUCAAACAUCAAAUUCAACAUAGUUUCAUACAUGAACUUCAACUACUUAUUCAAACUACUAGUUAAACUACUCCUCAUCGUCGGAGCUGUGGAACUGCGUCGAGAACUCCUCCUUCUCCGGGUCGUCGCAUCCCUCCUCCUCCUCCUCCUCCGAGAAGUCUGCCUAGUCCUCCUCGGAAGAGGACUCGAUGGGGAUCACCGUCGAGGGACCGACCUCGUCCUUCUUCUUCGCCCCCUUCUUCUUCUGCUCUGCCUCACGCUUCCAAUAGUACUCCAGCUCGGCCUGGACGUACUCCGGAUGCUCCCGAGCAAACCUCGCCAUCGCCUCCUCGUCGGUCUCGCCAGCACUGACGACAACCGAUGGCUUCUUCGCCGUCUUCUUCUUCGUCGGGAUCUCCUUCAUCUUCAUGCCCUGCGGCACAAGCAUCUCCGCUUUCGCCCGACUCUCGAUCUCUGGGAAGUUGAGGUGCUCCCGAGGCCUCUCGGCACGCCACACCGCCACGUCGUAGGCACGCGUGGCCUCGUGGGCGGAGGGGUACGUGCCGAUCCACCAACGCCUCCCGGCGUCGGAGAACUCCACUCCGAAGUUACCGGAGGGCUUCUGCCUCACGCCGAAGAAGCCCGACUUGCCCUUCGGCGUCUUAUUCGGCGCCAUCGGAGAGCGGUAAGAGCGGUGGAGCNNNNNNNNNNNNNNNNNNNNNNNNNNNNNNNNNNNNNNNNNNNNNNNNNNNNNNNNNNNNNNNNNNNNNNNNNNNNNNNNNNNNNNNNNNNNNNNNNNNNNNNNNNNNNNNNNNNNNNNNNNNNNNNNNNNNNNNNNNNNNNNNNNNNNNNNNNNNNNNNNNNNNNNNNNNNNNNNNNNNNNNNNNNNNNNNNNNNNNNNNNNNNNNNNNNNNNNNNNNNNNNNNNNNNNNNNNNNNNNNNNNNNNNNNNNNNNNNNGGCUGGGCCGGAUCUGAUGCGGGCGGCGUGCGGCGGGGUGUGGAGGCAGCUGGGCGGCGGCGGACGGGCGGGCGGGCGGGAAAGGAAAGGAAGUUGCGGCUGGGCGUUCGCGGGCGGCGGCUGGUUUUGGACCAGAUGCCCCUCGUGAUGUAAAUUUGCAGCGCGAGGUGUUGUAUUUUACAUCACGAGAAGGCCGCGGUCCAAAUUGUUUUUACAUAUGAGCCGUCUGUUAGAGCUGCGUUUUUGGCCUUAGACGGUCCAAAAGUUAGUUACUUUUACAUUUGGACCAUCUAUUGGAGAUGCUCUAACCCGCUUCGUUUCGUUUCGUUUCCAACUGAGAAUGAGAUGGUCCAGUCCAGAAACGCAUCACGCAAAGUUUCUUUUCUAGCUAGGGCCUGUCCACCUCUGAAACCAGAUGCUUUGGCUUGGAGGAUCUCGCCACUUUUCCUCCAUUUUCCGGAGGAUUCCAUUCCUAAACCUAUUUGUUGACUCAAAGAUGAUGAUGAUGUUUUACACCUCUUUUGACAAGCUGGAUGGAAUCCGUCUCUUCUCUUGCCCUAGAAAGAAAUUCGGGGUUUUGGGUGCAAGCAUCAGGCCAGCACAACUCGCUGCAUGAUGCUAGUAUCUAUCGGAAACAGUCUUUGUCAGAUUGUCCCGUGUUGGAGGUAGGAGAUGCCGAGAAUCCAUCCUUGAGAGAGCGCACGAGGAGUUGUUUGUUUAUAGAGGUAAUAGCACCCCAGAUCCACAAACUUGCACAGAAUGUGAUGUUUUAGUCCAAAACUUGCAAAAUGUUACUGAGGACUCCUACAACUUAACACCCUAUGUGAUGUUUUGAUCCACAGCCACUCACAGCAUGACAAGUGGCAGUCCAGAGGGUGGACCAGUCAGCUCUAGCAAUUUUGCACAUAGGCCCCUGCCGUUUACUUGAUUCAACCCGCACUACUUACCGUUGCUGUUCCCGUUCCCCCACCCCACACCUACCGUUGUUGUUCCCGUUUCCCCACCCCACACCUAUCGUUGUUGUCCCCCUUUCUCCUUCCUGUUCCCCAUUCUCCAUCCUCUCGCUCUCACUCUCGCUCUCCCUCUCCCUCUCCCUCUCCCUCUCCCUCUGUCGCCGGCAGCAAGGUCCCUUCCCCCAUCCCUUGCUUUGAACCCUUGAACAUUUGCACAGCUCAUGGCCAUGGUUUCCUGGAGCGAUUCUGGCAGUUCGUCCGACACUGAGUCAGUCAGCAGCGAAGUGCAAGUUAGAUCUCUUUCUCUGGUAGGGUUAGGGUUUCUUUGGGUGUGCAUUGGUAGUUAGCAAAUGAAGCUGAUUUACUUAUGUUUUAGCUACCUGCCACCAUCUUGUGCUUGGAAUGGAGCGGCCUGGCCAUAGAUCUGAGUUCUAGAUGUGAGCAUGAAUGUGUUUGUGAGAAGCUGGUGGCAUUUGAUUCAGUGGAUAGUGGGAAGAGAUUCCUAGCUUGUGCACAGAAGGUUAGUGGCUUAUUUGGUCAGUUUGAUUCAGUGUUCAGUUAUGUUUGACAGUUCUGAUAGUGAAAUGCAUAUACUACUGUGGUGUUGACAGUUAGAUUCAGUGUUUAUGUUGCUGUUUUUGCUUUUGUUAGUUUACUGAAUGUUGUUAUUUGUAGUUCUUUAAAUUUAGUGAAUACUGUGGAGAUCUACCAGUGUUUACUGAAUCUUGUUGUUUGUAAAUCUGAAGAUCUGUCAGUUAACAAAUUUUGCUCAAGUAAACUUUGUUUUGUUCAUGUAAACUGAACACUUGUAGUGUAGUUGAGCCAGUAUUUAACUGUUAUUUUCAUUGUACUGAAUAUUUUUCUUUUAGUUGCAAAUUUGUAGAAGAUACCUAAAUGCAGCUAUCUGGAGUGGGUUGACCCUGAGUGGCCUGCCCCUUUGAAGAUGAGCCUAGCUAGGAUCUGGGGCAUGUAUGAAGAUGAGAACAAGCUUAGGCUCCAGGACAAUGUAGUUCAUGCUGAAGAAAAUCUUAGGGUUGUGAGAGAGAAGGAAAAGCUGGAAAAAGACUUGAGGUUUUUUAAGGUUGAUUUUGCUCAAAUGGUGGCUGAGAAGGAGCAAGCUGUGGCCCAACUAGGCAACACACAACUUGCUAUGGCUGACAUGAAGGAAGAUCUUGAUAAGAAGAAGAUGUCUAACAAAUCAUUCACAAACAUUCAUCAAGUUGUGAGGGCCAAGGCAGAGAAAGAUAGGGACCUGAUGAAGCAGGAGAGGGACAGUCUGGUGCAAGAGAGGGACAACCUGGUGCUGGAGAGGAAUGUGCUAAAGCAAGAGGAGAAGAAGUUAGAGUACAUGAUUUUUCAGAAGAAAACUAAAUUUGUUAUCUCAUUGCACUAAAUUUCUGAUAACUCACAGUACUUAACUGAAUAUUGCUCCUAUCUAUUUUUGACAGAGAUUUAACUGAAUUUGUUCACAUUUAACUGUAAUUGUGACAGUUAACUGAACUUUGACAGUUAAAUGAAUUUUUCAGAGUUAACUGAAUUGGUUCAGAGUUAACUGAAUUUUUCAGAGUUAACUAAAUUUUCAGAGUUAACUAAAUGUUUAACUGAAUAUGUGCACCAUAUGAACCCUACUACAUGCCCAUAGGUCCCAUCUAUUUUGGGAAAGAGUUGGUUGCCCAUAGGUACACAUGCAGACAUUCAAACUGUUAACUGACCACAACAUUCAUAACUAACUAACUACAGCAUUGGAUACUUCAACACCUAAACAGCAACAUUCAUACCUUAGUUUAGCAUAACUGACCAUACCAUCAUAGUUCAACAUCUUAGUUCACCAUCAUACCUAACAACACCAUAGCAUCAUAAAAUAACUUAUAUGCUCUACAUAUAAGAGCACACCUAAACAACAUUGCCAAAAUACUUAACUUAUAUGCUGCUCUACUAUAUCAGCAUACCUAAUGCCUUCUUCUUGAGCUGCAUCACUUCUCCUUCAAGGCUUCUGCUUCACUUGUCCUUCAACAUCUUCAGCCUCUCCGAGCGGCGCACCACCCCAUCUGCAGGCCUCUUGUUGCUUGCGUUCUUCUUCCCCUUCCUGCCGUCCACUUCUUCCUGCGCAGGCACCUUGUCCGCCUCGUCCGCUUCCUCUUGCUUGACGACGACGAAGUCAGGCACACCCGGCAGCGCGUCCACGUCGAUGGGGAUGGUCACAGCCCGUGGUGCCAUCUGCACCUCAUCCGGCUCGUCGUCAGAGAGGACGAUGACGUCCACCUCCCACUCUUGAGAUGACUCGGUCUCUGGGUCGUAGCCAGAGUCCGCGUCGGAGGUGAGGUGGUCGUACUCGGAGUCGGACGACGAAUCCGCGUCGGAGACGUCGUGGGGAAGGAGGAGGUUAGGCUGAAACCUGUCCCAGUACGCCCUGUUGAUUGGCGUGGGGACGGCAAGGACGACUUCACGCACGCGCUCCGCCCUGGAGGCGACACGGUUGGGAUCCGGCUGCUGCGGCGGUGCCUUGGCGGACCGAUACAUCCACCAGCGCGCGCUGGUCCGGAUCGUCUAACCGAGUCUCCCCCAUGGCGAACUGCAGGAUCUUCGCCAGGUGGACGCCGACGAUGCCGUACGGGCCGCUGGGCAUGGCGCGACGCUUCUCGUCGUCUGUCAUUACCUUGAUGAGGCCGCGCGCGUGGUUCCUCAUUAUCUGGAUGCUCGGGAACCAGCGCGCGAUCUCCUGCAGCUCCGCCCGCGCCGUCUGGUCGUCGCCGGCCAGAUCUUCGACGGCCCUCUGCCAUCCCAGGUUGUCGUCCAUGGCGUCGGCGGCGGCUUCGACCUCGGGCGAGGGUUUCUUUGGUGGCGAUGAGAUGGAGGUGGGUAGCGCAAGCAACGAGGAGACGAGGGAAGUGGGGAGUGGGUAGUGGGCGACGAGAGCGGUGGGUUCCCUUAUUUAAGACAGGUGUGAAAAUUGAAUUGUCGGCCCGUCGAAAAAAUUACGGUGGGUUGCCGUAUUAGUACAACAGUGCCAGCAAAUACACCAAACCACGACAACUACUCUACUGGCAUUGCUUCUAGCUUACCAAACCCACAGUCCUGGGUUCGAGACCCAGACCGAACAUUUUUUUUCUUUUUUCCUUACACAAAAUUCAGUUGAAUGUAGGCCAAAUAAUUGCAUUCAUUAAUUGUUUUGUAAGCUUUUUUAACUUCAUUAAACAUUUCAACACAAUUGAACUGAACUUUGCUAACUGACAGUACAUAACUGAACUUUGCUAACUGACAGUACUUAACUGAAUUUUGAACAGCAUUCAACAGAAUUAAACUAAACUUUGCAAACUGAAUUAAACUGAAUUUUGGAAAGCAUUAAAACCCAACUAAUGCCACAUGUUUGCCAUCACAGUUUUUAGUUACAAAAAGGGCACUUAAUGCCACUGUUAUGUUGGGGAACGUAGCAGAAAUUCAAAAUUUUCUACGCAUCACCAAGAUCAAUCUAUGGAGUUUACUAGCAACGAGAGGGAAGGAGUGCAUCUACAUACCCUUGUAGAUCGCGAGCGGAAGCGUUCAAGAGAACGGGGUUGAUGGAGUCGUACUCGUCGUGAUCCAAAUCCCCGAUGAUCCUAGCGCCGAACGGACGGCACCUCCGCGUUCAACACACGUACGGUUGGGAGAGACAUCUCCUCCUUCUUGAUCCAGCAAGGGGGGAGGAGAAGUUGAUGGAGAUCCAGCAGCACGACGGCGUGGUGGUGGAAGUAGCGGGAUCCCGGCAGGGCUUCGCCAAGCGCAAGCGGGGAGGAAGAGGUGUCACGGGAGGGAGGGAGGCGCCAGGGCUUGGGGUGCUGCUCCCAUACGCCUCCCCACUAUAUAUAGGGGUGGAGGGGGCUGGUUUCUUGCCCUCCAAGUCCAUUGGGGCAUUGGCAAAGGUGGGGAAAAGAAAUCCCAUCAUUUCCCUUCCCCACCGAUUGUUAUCCCCCUUUUUUAGGGAUCUUGAUCUUAUCCCUUCGGGAUAUGAUCUUAUUCCUUCGGGAUAUGAUCUUAUUCCUUCUAAGGUGGGAUCUUGGUGCGCCUUGACCAGGGGUGUGGGGCCUUGCCCCCACUACCCACGUUCAUGUGGCCCCCCCAUGCAGGUGGGCCCCACUUCGGAACCUUCUAGAACCUUCCCGGUACAAUACCGAAAAAUCCCGAACAUUUUCCGGUGGCCAAAAUAGGACUUCCCAUAUAUAAAUCUUUACCUCCGGACCAUUCCGGAACUCCUCGUGACGUCCGGGAUCUCAUCCGGGACUCCGAACUACUUUCGGUUAACCGCAUACUAAUAUCUCUAUAACUCUAGCGUCACCGAACCUUAAGUGUGUAGACCCUACGGGUUCGGGAGACAUGCAGACAUGACCGAGACGCCUCUCCGGUCAAUAACCAACAGCGGGAUCUGGAUACCCAUGUUGGCUCCCACAUGCUCCACGAUGAUCUCAUCGGAUGAACCACGAUGUCGAGGAUUCAAUCAAUCCCGUAUACACUUCCCUUUGUCAAUCGGUACGUUACUUGCCCGAGAUUCGAUCGUCGGUAUCCCAAUACCUUGUUCAAUCUCGUUACCGGCAAGUCACUUUACUCGUACCGUAAUGCAUGAUCCCGUGACCAAACACUUGGUCACAUUGAGCUCAUUAUGAUGAUGCAUUACCGAGUGGGCCCAGAGAUACCUCUCCGUCAUACGGAGUGACAAAUCCCAGUCUCGAUUCGUGCCAACCCAAUAGACACUUUCGGAGAUACCCGUAGUGCACCUUUAUAGCCACCCAGUUACGUUGUGACGUUUGGCACACCCAAAGCACUCCUAUGGUAUCCGGGAGUUGCACAAUCUCAUGGUCUAAGGAAAUGAUACUUGACAUUUGGAAAAGCUCUAGCAAACGAACUACACGAUCUUGUGAUAUGCUUAGGAUUGGGUCUUGUCCAUCACAUCAUUCUCCUAAUGAUGUGAUCCCGUUAUCAAUGACAUCCAAUGUCCAUAGUCAGGAAACCAUGACUAUCUGUUGAUCAACGAGCUAGUCAACUAGAGGCUCACUAGGGAAAUGUUGUGGUCUAUGUAUUCACACAUGUAUUACGGUUUCCAGUUAAUAAAAUUAUAGCAUGAACAACAGACAAUUACCAUGAACAAGGAAAUACAAUAAUAACCAUUUUAUUAUUGCCUCUAGGGCAUAUUUCCAAGAGUCUCCCACUUGCACUAGAGUCAAUAAUCUAGUUCACAUCACCAUGUGAUUAACACUCAAAGUUCACAUCGCCAUGUGACUAAUACCCAAGAGUUUACUAGAGUCAAUAAUCUAGUUCACAUCACCAUGUGAUUAACACUCAAUGAGUUCUAGGGUUUGAUCAUGUUAUGCUUACGAGAGAGGUUUUAGUCAACGGGUCUGCAACAUUCAGAUCCGUGUGUGCUUUACAAAUCUCUAUGUCAUCUUGUAGAUGCAGCUACCAUGCGCUACUUGGAGCUAUUCCAAAUAACUGCUCUACUAUACGAAUCCGGUUCACUACCAAGAGUCAUCCGGAUUAGUGUCAAAGUUUGCAUCGACGUAACCCUUUACGACGAACCCCCUUUCCACCUCCAUAAUCGAGAAAAUUCCUUAGUCCACUAGAUACUAAGGAUAAGUUCGACCGCUGUCAUGUGAUCCCUUCCUGGAUCACUAUUGUACCCCUUGACUAACUCAUGGCAAGGCACACUUCAGGUGCGGUACACAGCAUAGCAUAUUGUAGAGCCUACGUCUAAAGCAUAGGGGACGACCUUCGUCCUUUCUCUUUCUUCUGUCGUGGUCAGGUCUUGAGUCUUACUCAAUACUCACACCUUGUAACACAGCCAAGAACUCCUUCUUUGCUGAUCUAUUUUGAACUCCUUCAAAAUCUUGUCACGGUAUGUAUUCAUUUGAAAUUACUAUUAAGCGUUUUUGAUCUAUCCUUAUAGAUCUUGAUGCUCAAUGUUCAAGUAGCUUAAUCCAGGUUUUCCAUUAAAAACACUUUUCAAAUAACCCUGGAUGCUUUCCAGAAAUUCUACAUCAUUUCCGAUCAACAAUAUGUUAACAACAUAUACUCAUCAAAAAUUCUAUAGUGCUCCCACUCACUUCUUUGGAAAUACAAGUUUCUCAUGAACAUUGUAUAAACCCAAAAUCUUUGAUCAUCUCAUCAAAGCGUUCAUUCCAACUCCGAGAUGCUUACUCCAAUCCUUAGAAGGAUUGCUGGAGCUUUGCAUACUUCUUAGCAUCUUUCAGGAUUGACAAAACCUUCUGGUUGUAUCACAUACAACCUUUCCUCAAGAAAAUCAUCAAGGAAACAAUGUUUUGACAUCCUAUCUGCAAGAUUUCAUAAAUAAUGCAGUAACUGCUAAUAUAGUUCCAACAGACUCUUAGCAUCGCUACGAGUGAGAAAGUCUCAUCGCAGUCAACUCCUUGAACUUGUCGAAAAACAUCUUAACGACAAGUCGAGCUUUCUUAAUGGUGACACUUACCAUCAUUGUCUGUCAUCCCUUUUAAAAUCCAUCUGCACCCAACAGCCUUACGACCAUCAAGUAGUUCUUCCAAAGUCUAUACUUUGUUUUAUACAUGGAUCCUCUCUCGGAUUUUAUGGCUCAAGCCAUUCGUCGGAAUCCGGGCCCACCGUCGCUUCUCCAUAGCUCGUAGGUUCAUUGUCGUCUAGCAACAUGACUUCCAAGACAGGAUUACAUACCACUCUGAAGUAGAACGCAUCCUUGUCGACCUACGAGAUUUGGUAGUGACUUGAUCCGAAGUUUCAUGAUCACUAUCAUAAGCUUCCACUUCAAUUGGUGUAGGUGCCACAGGAACAACUUCCUGUGCCCUGCUACACACUAGUUGAAGUCAUGGUUCAAUAACCUCAUCAAGUCUCCACCAUCCUCCCACUCAAUUCUUUCGAGAGAAACUUUUCCUCGAGAAAGGACCCGUUUCUAGAAACAAUCACUUUUGCUUCCAGAUCUGAAAUAGGAGGUAUACCCAACUGUUUUGGGUAUUCUAUGAUGAUGUAUUUAUCCCCUUUGGGUUCGAGCUUAUCAGCCUGAAACUUUUUCACAUAAGCGUCGCAGCCCCAAACUUUUAAGAAACGACAGCUUAGGUUUCUCUAAACCACAGUUCAUACGGUGUCGUCUCAACGGAAUUGUGUGGUGCCCUAUUUAAAGUGAAUGCGGUUGUCUCUAAUGCCUAACCCAUAAACGAUAGUUGUAAUUCGGUAAGAGACAUCAUGGUAUGCACCAUAUCCAAUAGGGUGCAGUUAUGAUUUUCGGACACACCAUCACAAUAUGGUGUUCCAGGCGGUAUUAGUCGUGAAACAAUUUCCGCAAUUUCUUAAUCGUGUGCCAAACUCGUAACUCAGAUAUUCAUCUCUAUGAUCAUAUCACAGACAUUUUAUCCUCUUGUCACGACGAUCUUCAACUUCACUCUGAAAUUACUUGAACCUUUCAAUAAUUUAGACUUGUGUUUCAUCAAGUAAAUCUACUCAAAUCAUCUGUGAAGUAAGAACAUAACGAUAUCCACUGCGUGCGUCAGCACUCAUUGGACUGCACACAUCAAAUGUAUUACUUCCAACAAGUUGCUCUCUUGUUCCAUCUUACUGAAAACGAGGCCUUUCAGUCAUCUUGCCCAUGUGGCAUGAUUUGCAUGUCUCAAGUGAUUCAAAAUCAAGUGAGUCCAAAUGAUCCAUCUGUAUGGACUUUCUUCAUGCAUAUAUACUAAUAGACAUGGUUCGCAUGUCUCAAUCUUUUCAAAAACGAGUGAGUCCAAAGGUCCAUCAACAUGGAGCUUCUUCAUGCGUUUUAUACCAAUAUGACUCAAGUGGCAGUGCCAUAAGUAUGUGGUACUAUCAUUACUAUCUUAUAUCUUUUGGCAUGAACAUGUGUAUCACUACGAUCGAGAUUCAAUAAACCAUUCAUUUUAGGUGCAAGACCAUUGAAGGUAUUAUUCAAAUAGACAGAGUAACCAUUAUUCUCCUUUAAUGAACAACAUAAUCCAAUCAUGUCUAUGCUCAACGUAAACACCAAAUAACAAUUAUUUAGGUUUAACACCAAUCUCGAUGGUAGAGGGAGAAUGCGAUGCUUGAUCACAUCAACCUUGGAAACACUUCCAACACAUAUCGUCAUCUCACUUUUAGCUAGUCUCCGUUUAUUCCGCAGCUUUUAUUUCGAGUUACUAACACUUAGCAACCGAACCGGUAUCUAAUACCCUGGUGCUACUAGGAGUACUAGUAAAGUACACAUUAAUAUAAUGUAUAACCAAUAUACUUCUGUCGACCUUGCCAGCCUUCUCAUCUACGAAGUAUCUAGGGUAGUUCUGCUUCAGUGACCGUUCCCCUCAUUUCAGAAGCACUUAGUCUCGGGUUUGGGUUCAACCUUGGGUUUCUUCACUAGAGCAACAACUGAUUUGCCGUUUCAUGAAGUAUCCCUUCUUGCCCUUGCCCUUCUAGAAACUAGUGGUUUUACUAACCAUCAACAAUUGAUGCUCCUUCUUGAUUUCUACUUUCGCGGUGUCAAACAUCGCGAGUUGCUCAAGGAUCAUCAUGUCUAUCCCUGAUAUGUUAUAGUUCAUCACGAAGCUCUAAUAGCUUGGUGGCAGUGACUAUGGAGAACCAUCACUAUCUCAUCUGGAAGAUUAACUCCCACUCGAUUCAAGUGAUUGUAGUACUCAGACAAUCUGAGCACAUGCUCAACGAUUGAGCUUUUCUCCCUUAGUUUGCAGGCUUAAGAAACUUGUCAGAGGUCUCAUACCUCUUGACGUGGGCAUUAGUCUGAAAUCCCAAUUUCAGUCUUUGGAACAUCUCAUAUGUUCUGCGACAUUUCAAAACCGUCUUUGGUGCCACAAUUUUAAACCGUUAGCAUCACACACUGAACUAUCACGUAGUCAUCAAAACGUGUAUGUCAGAUGUUUCGUAACAUCUACAGACAACGCUCGAGGUUCAGCACACCGAGCAGUGCAUUAAGGACAUAAGCCUUCUGUGCAGCAAUGAGGACAAUCCUCAGUUUACGGACCCAGUCCGCAUAAUUGCUACUAUCAACUUUCAACUAAAUUUUCUCUAGGAACAUAUCUUAGUAGAACUAAAGCGUAAGCUACGACAUUAUUUGCAAAGACCUUUUGACUAUGUUCAUGAUAAUUAAGUUCAUCUGAUUAUUUAAUGAACUCCCACUUAGAUAGACAUCCCUCUAGUCAUCUAAGUGAUACAUGAUCCGAAUCGACUAGGCCGUGUCCGAUCAUCACGUGAGAUGGACUAGUCAUCAUCGGUGAACAUCUCCAUGUUGAUCGUAUCUACUAUACGACUCAUGUUCGACCUUUCGGUCUCUUGUGUUCCGAGGCCAUGUCUGUACAUGCUAGGCUCGUCAAGUCAACCUAAGUGUUUCGCAUGUGUAAAUCUGGCUUACACCCGUUGUAUGCGAACGUUAGAAUCUAUCACACCCGAUCAUCACGUGGUGCUUCGAAACAACGAACCUUCGCAACGGUGCACAGUUAGGGGGAACACGUCUCUUGAAAUUUUAGUGAGGGAUCAUCUUAUUUAUGCUACCAUCGUUCUAAGCAAAUAAGAUGUAAACAUGACAAACAUCACAUGCAAAUCAUAAAGUGACAUGAUAUGGCCAAUAUCAUCUUGCGCCUUUGAUCUCCAUCUUCGAGGCGCGGCAUGAUCACCUUCGUCACCGGCAUGACACCAUGAUCUCCAUCAUCAUGAUCUCCAUCAUCGUGUCUUCAUGAAGUUGUCUCGCCAACUAUUACUUCUACUACUAUGGCUAACGGUUAGCAAUAAAGUAAAGUAAUUACAUGGCGGUUUUCAUUGACACGCAGGUCAUACAAUAAAUUAAGACAACUCCUAUGGCUCCUGCCGGUUGUCAUACUCAUCGACAUACAAGUCGUGAUUCCUAUUACAAGAACAUGAUCAAUCUCAUACAUCACAUAUAUAUAAUUCAUCACAUCCUUUUGGCCAUAUCACAUCACAUAGCAUACCCUGCAAAAACAAGUUAGACGUCCUCUAAUUGUUGUUGCAUGUUUUACGUGGCUGCUAUGGGUUUCUAGCAAGAACGUUUCUUACCUACGCAAAAGCCACAAUGGUGAUAUGCCAAUUGCUAUUUACCCUUCAUAAGGACCCUCUUCAUCGAAUCCGAUCCGACUAAAGUGGGAGAGACAGACACCCGCUAGCCACCUUAUGCAUCAAGUGCAUGUCAGUCGGUGGAACCUGUCUCACGUAAGAGUACGUGUAAGGUCAGUCCGGGCCGCUUCAUCCCACAAUGCCGCCGAAUCAAGAUAAGACUAGUAACGGCAAGCAAAUUGAACAAAUCAUCGCCCACAACUACUUUGUGUUCUACUCGUGCAUAGAAUCUACGCAUAGACCUGGCUCAUGAUGCCACUGUUGGGGAACGUAGCAGAAAUUCAAAAUUUUCUACGCAUCAACAAGAUCAAUCUAUGGAGUUUACUAGCAACGAGAGGGAAGGAGUGCAUCUACAUACCCUUGUAGAUCGCGAGCGGAAGCGUUCAAGAGAACGGGGUUGAUGGAGUCGUACUCGUCGUGAUCCAAAUCCCCGAUGAUCCUAGCGCCGAACGGACGGCACCUCCGCGUUCAACACAUGUACGGUUGGGAGAGACGUCUCCUCCUUCUUGAUCCAGCAAGGGGGGAGGAGAAGUUGAUGGAGAUCCAGCAGCACGACGGCGUGGUGGUGGAAGUAGCGGGAUCCCGGCAGGGCUUCGCCAAGCGCAAGCGGGGAGGAAGAGGUGUCACGGGAGGGAGGGAGGCGCCAGGGCUUGGGGUGCUGCUCCCAUGCGCCCCCACUAUAUAUAGGGGUGGAGGGGGCUGGUUUCUUGCCCUCCAAGUCCAUUGGGGCGUUGGCAAAGGUGAGGAAAAGAAAUCCCAUCAUUUCCCUUCCCCACCGAUUGUUAUCCCCCUUUUUUAGGGAUCUUGAUCUUAUCCCUUCGGGAUAUGAUCUUAUUCCUUCUAAGGUGGGAUCUUGGUGCACCUUGACCAGGGGUGUGGGGCCUUGCCCCCACUACCCACGUUCAUGUGGCCCCCCCCCCCAUACAGGUGGGCCCCACUUCGGAACCUUCUAGAACCUUCCCGGUACAAUACCGAACAAUCCCGAACAUUUUCCGGUGGCCAAAAUAGGACUUCCCAUAUAUAAAUCUUUACCUCUGGACCAUUCCGGAACUCCUCGUGACGUCCGGGAUCUCAUGCGGGACUCCGAACAACUUUCGGUUAACCGCAUACUAAUAUCUAUACAACUCUAGCGUCACCGAACCUUAAGUGUGUAGACCCUACGGGUUCGGGAGACAUGUAGACAUGACCGAGACAUUUCUCCGGUCAAUAACCAACAGCGGGAUCUGGAUACCCAUGUUGGCUCCCACAUGCUCCACGAUGAUCUCAUCGGAUGAACCACGAUGUCGAGGAUUCAAUCAAUCCCGUAUACAAUUCCCUUUGUCAAUCGGUACGUUACUUGCCCGAGAUUCGAUCGUCGGUAUCCCAAUACCUUGUUCAAUCUCGUUAGCGGCAAGUCACUUUACUCGUACCGUAAUGCAUGAUCCCGUGACCAAACACUUGGUCACAUUGAGCUCAUUAUGAUGAUGCAUUACCGAGUGGGCCCAGAGAUACCUCUCCGUCAUACGGAGUGACAAAUCCCAGUCUCGAUUCGUGCCAACCCAACAGACACUUUUGGAGAUACCCGUAGUGCACCUUUAUAGCCACCCAGUUACGUUGUGACGUUUGGCACACCCAAAGCACUCCUAUGGUAUCCGGGAGUUGCACAAUCUCAUGGUCUAAGGAAAUGAUACUUGACAUUUGGAAAAGCUCUAGCAAACGAACUACACGAUCUUGUGCUAUGCUUAGGAUUGGGUCUUGUCCAUCACAUCAUUCUCCUAAUGAUGUGAUCCCGUUAUCAAUGACAUCCAAUGUCCAUAGUCAGGAAACCAUGACUAUCUGUUGAUCAACGAGCUAGUCAACUAGAGGCUCACUAGGGACAUGUUGUGGUCUAUGUAUUCACACAUGUAUUACGGUUUCCAGUUAAUACAAUUAUAGCAUGAACAACAGACAAUUAUCAUGAACAAGGAAAUACAAUAAUAACCAUUUUAUUAUUGCCUCUAGGGCAUAUUUCCAACAUGUUAGCCAUCAAAUAAUGAGGCACUGGAUGCUCCUUUAUGCAUCCAAAAAAGGCCACUCAAUGUUUUACAUUGCUUCAGGCCUUAACAAAAAAAGUGACAGUCUGAACUGCCACCAAAUCAAGCAUCAGGGGGAGCAUUUAGAUCAGGAAUUAGGCUGUUGCUCAUAUCUUCUCCAAACAUCAGCCACCAUGCCCUCUCACCUGGGAUUGCUCCUCUUCCUAUACCUGCAUCUGCAUUUCUUCCUCCCCUGCCUCUCCAAGCAUGCACAUUUCUUCCUCCUCUUACUGGAACUGCAUUAGCAUUUGCUCCUCUUCCUGGCACUGCAUUUGCUCCUCUUCCAAGCACUGCAUUUGCAUUUGAUCCUCUUCCAAGCACUGGAUUUGCUCCUCUGCCAAGCACUGGAUUUGCUCCUCUUCCAAGCAUUGCAUUUGUAUUUGCUCCUCUUCCAAGCACUGGAUUUGCAUUUGCCCCUCUUCCAAGGAUAGCAUUUGCUCCUCUUCCAAGCAUUGCAGUUGCAUUUGCUCCUCUUCCAAGCACUGGAUUUGCAUUUGCCCCUCUUCCAAGGAUAGCAUUUGCUCCUCUUCCUCUCCUUGCUACUGGAUUUCCUUCUCCUCUUCCUCUCCUUUUCCUUCCUCUUCCUCUGCCAGUAGCUUCAGAUCCUUCUCCUCUGUCAACUGUUGUUCUUGCCAUUGUCUGUCUAGCAAUGUUCAUCUCUGUAGUGACCCUUGGCUGUGGUAUUGCAGCACAAGCAGCAGCAACAAAUGAAGACUGUUGUGGCAAUGGGCCAUGAACUCUUUGUUGAGCUCUUCUAGCUCUAUCUCUGGUAGCCAUGUUGAAAGACCAUGCUGGUGGGUAACUCACUAGGAUCUAACCUAGGAUCUGGCCUGGUAUGGUAUAUGUUCUGCAAAGAAGAAGUUCAAAUUAUUCAGUUGAGACUGAAACAUUCUUCAGUUACAAGUGAAACUUUAUUACUUACAAGUGAAACAUACCUGCAGAAAAGUUGGAUCAUCAUAAUUUUCAUCCACUAGCUCUACCCCUUCUUCAACAAGUGCUUCCUGCCAUCUGUAGUGGCCCUUUCUGUUGUGGUCAGCUCUGCCACAUAUGGAGCAAUGCAUUGUAACACCUUUCUUGUUCAAAUAUCUCACACCAUGUUUGAUUUUCUCUUCAGGUGUUUUUUUCCUGUUUUUCUUUGGCCUGCCCAGCUGUUUAGUGAACACUGGUGGGAAAACCUUGUAUCCUGGCUGCACCUCCCAGUAUUUAGGGUCCCUUAGAGGGACCAGUGUGUAGCCAUAUGCUUUCAUAUAGUUCUCCACAAUGUAGCAGUCAUGAACCAUUAACUCUGGGUCAAUUCUUUCUUCCCUACAACAUGCUAUGGAAGGCCACAAGGCACACUAGAUAACUGCCAUCUCCUGCAAUCACAGGUAUGCAAACACAAGUCCACUGAGUAGCUAGAAUUUCCAGACUGAACUCUGAAUUUUUGUUGGCCAGCUUCUGAAAGAUGACAAUUUGCAGCAAAUUCAGUGUUCUUGUCUAACGUCUUCUUGAUCUUUGGGCAUAUUCUCUGCCCUGCCCACUUUUCUAUUGCCUCUCUUUGUUUGCUCACAAGCCUUUGCAUGAUUUUGUAGAAUAUAUAUUCCAGCAUUGACAACACUGCCAUCUCUCUGCCUUUAAGGAUAUAGAUGUUAAACACUUCAGAAUUAUUUUUCAGUAGAAUGUCACAUUUGGGAAAUUCACUGAAAAAUGUUUUACACCAAGUCUUUGGAUCAAGUCUUUCAGUCCAAUGAAAUGCAACCGAACUAUCUGCAUCCAUUUUCUCACAGUUCUGCCUCCAGUUCACUUUGUUUGGUGAUCUUGCAAUGGCCCACAGGUCUUGCUUCAGCAACUCUCCCUUGUGCUUCUCAUUGAAAUUCUGAUAGAUAUGCCUCACACAAAACAUAUGCGCUGCAUCUGGCCACACUUUCUGCACAGCAUUUAUCAAUCCCUUUUGCUUGUCACUCAUAAUUGUGAAAGGAGCAGUGUUAAUGAUGUUGAGAUCAUCUCUCAAAGUUGUCAGAAACCAUUCCCAGGAUCCUGUGCAUUCUACUUCAACCCAACCCAUUGCAAUGGGGAAAAUGCAGUCAUUUGGAUCAAUUCCAACAUCACUAAGCAAAACUCCUUUGAACCUUGUUUUCAUGUGACAUCCAUCAAUGAAAAUGAUAGGCCUGCACCCCUUUAACCACCCUAUUUUACAUGCAUCAUAAGACCAGUACAGUGUCUUCAGACACUUCCUGCCCAUUGGAAAUUUUGGGUCUUUCUUCAGCUCAGUUGAUAACAGAAAUGUAGAGCCAGGGUUUGUAGUCCUUAAUUCAUGACCAUAGUCCCAUAGCCUACUGAACUGAUGUUCUUCAUCACCAUGGAUCUCUUUCAGGGCUGCAGUUCUAGCCCUUGCUAGCUUCCAUCUGUUAGGGGUCACAUUGAAUGCCUUGGUGAUUUUUCUUGCAAAUGUACCAAGUGACAUUUUCUGGUCAUCCCUCAACUCAUCUAUAAAAUACUGGCACAGAAACUUAGCUGUCAUCUGCCUUAUCUUCCAUUUCUUCUGACAACAGUACUCUCCAUAGUAAGCCUUGAUUACAAAUCCCCCUGUCCUGUUGUCCUUGCCAGCUUUUAGCCACCAUGGGCAACCUCUUUCACAAACAGCCUCUAUUCUAGUUUUGUCAUUCUUUAACUUCUUGAUCUGAACUCUGUUCUUGACAGAAUAUGCAGUAAUAGCAAGUCUAAGCUCCUUCACAUCAGCAAAGACCAUCCCAACUUUGAAGGCAGGGGCAACUAUGUCCACCUUUGAAUUGAAGGCAGUAAACUUGUACCUCAACUGCUCUGCUUCCUCAAUGGGCAGAUUAAGAUCUUCAUCAUCAAGCAAAUAGUCAUCUACCUCCACAUCAUCCUCUUCUUCUUCAGCUUGUUCAUCAACAUCAAAGUCAAUGUUGUCAUCAUAAAGAUCAUCACCCCCCUCAUCUAUGUCAUAAUCACUGUCACUGAAAUCUGAUUCAGGAACAACUAUAUCUUCAAUUUUUUUUUACAGAAAGACUGUAAGGGAACCCCCUACAGUAUAAUUGGUGCAACAACCCCAAAUUGCAAGUACCAUGCCUUGAACCUGGGUGGGUGGGAAGGCAUCAGCCCCUUCCCACCACUAGGCUAUGCCUUAGUCUGCAACUAUAUCUUCAAUUACUGCUACUCCAUCUUCAGUAAGCAAAUUGUGCUCUACACCUUCUAUCAGCAAACUUUCAGGUUCUGUUCCAUUUGCAGCAAUUUCUGACAUUGGAUCUUCUUCAUUGACAGAAAUGACACUGUGCUAGAAAGAUGCUUCACUUGCAAUGUGCAUUGCAACAGAGCACUGAAUUGAUGGCAAUGUGCAUAUGGAUUCAGCCCUGAAAUUGCUGAUGAAAUCUGCAUGGUCAACCAUAAUAGCCAGCACUUUAUGCUCAACACUAGCUCUGAUGAUGUGUUGCACAUCAUCAUCAGAUUUAAUUUUGACCAAACCAUCUGCAAUUGAUUUAUCAGGCAAGCACCAGUAAAGUAUGUGCUCACCCACUGGAUAUUCCAACCAAGUUAGGUGCUCUUCAAAGAAAGAAUAUGAGAAUGUGGUAGCAUCAACAUAAUCAAGAAAUUCCACUGAAGGGUUCCAGUACUCCAAAUUACUGAUUGGGCCGCAGAAAAUUCCACCAUGCUCAAGUUCAAGUGUAAAGAAAGAAGUGUCCACCCUUUGUCCAUUUGCUGAAUCACACACUGCAUCAAAUAUGUGUAAUUUGUAAGCAAUGCACAAUGAUGUAUACACUUAAUAGUAAAAUUAAGUUAGCUGAGAAGUUCAGUUAACUGAGAUGUUCAGUUAACUACAGUGAACUAAAAACAUUGUGAAUAACUACAGUGCACUUACAAAAUUCAGAUAACUACAGUUAACUGAAAAAAUUCAGUCAAAUGUCCUAAAAUCAAUACUUGAGCUAACUGAAGUUGGUGCCAUUGAACACAACCAACUGGUGGCAUCACUAACACCUGAAACAUGAGCAUGACCAUUGCAAUAGUAAGCAUUAACACCUGAAACAUGAACAACUAAAUUUGGUGGCAAUGAACACAAUCAAGUAUUGUCAGAUUUGCUUUCGGUGCACAUGAAUGGAGGACCGACCCACAACUCCAGUCUAACAAGCUAACAUAUGAACGAAAAAGAAGACCCACUUGUUAGGCCAAACCCAAGACUUUGCCACCCUAAACCCUAACCUAAUCUACUCGGCCAAAACCCACUAGGCCAAAGCCCUAGCUUUAAUGCCGUCAGACAAACCCAACAGCAUUCAACAAGCACACCACCGUGAGACACACCGACGUGGCGGGGCUGAUGCGGACGACGGCGACACAACGACGACGAUGAAACAGAGCACAGGUGGAACACGGAAGGAGGCGGAAGAGGGGACAGGAGCUCACCAUAGUCCGGUGGGAUGACGCCGAGCGGCCGGAUGAGAUGAGCGGAAGGAGGUGGCUCCAUCCCGCCGGCGAACUCCGGCGACAACGGCGCGAUGACGAGCGUCAUCACCAAAUCGCCACCACACUGUCUCCCCCGACAGGACAGCGGGAGAGGUCGAACGGAUCUGAUGCAACUCCCGUGGCAUUUAAUUCAGGUGGGUGUAGUGCAGGUUGAAUCAAGUAAACGGCAGGGGCCUAUGUGCAAAAUUCCCAAAGCUGACCGGUCCACCCUCCGGACUGCCACUUGUCAUGCUGUGAGUGGCUGUGGACCAAAACAUCACAUAGGGUGUUAAGUUGUAGGAGUCCUAGUAACAUUUUGCAAGUUUUGGACUAAAACAUCACAUUCUGUGCAAGUUUGUGGAUCCGGAUACUAUUACCUCUUGUUUAUACUAUCCGUCAGGUGACGGGACGUCUCGCAGGCAGCCCAGCCUGCUCCCUCCCUCCUGGCGACGGGACGUGUUUUGUACUAGUACGUGCGCGGGCUAAUCGAUCACCGGUCGGUGCUGCUAGUGGUAAAUCAGUGAGCACCGCAGGCUUUGUUUAAGUGGGCAAUGCUUCGUUAGCUAGAGUGACUGUUGAAAGCAGUAGAUUGGGCACUGCACUGUAGUACCGGCGAGUUGUUGCUGACACGACGGCGCAUCCGUCAGGAGAGGAUAAUGCCGUGCCCUGAUUCGCCUGUUGUUCGUCUCCCACGUAAUUCGCACGAUCGUGAAAAUGCAGUCCUAUGGUACCCCUUUAUCGAAAAAAGUCCUAUGGUACCCCACGGGAUUAAUUUGAGAGAAUGCUCGACGGCGCAGGAAAAACAAGGGAAUCCUAUGAAAUUUUUCCUUCAGAACGUAGUGCAGAUGUACCGGAUGGGAAAAAUUUCCUAAGGAUUCCAAUCCUAUUCCUAUACGUCAAACGAAUAACCCGAAUCCUCCAAAAGUCCUAUAAAAAUUCCUUUAAAUCGAAGGAGCCUUUGAUUUAUCCAGUUAAAGAAUUGGUGAGCUUUGCUGUACCGGAGGCAAGCAGUAGUAGUGCUGUGCAGAGCAAGGACUACCCAGUGUCGCCAGACAAAAGUUGACUCUUUUGUGAAGUGUCACUGUUAUUUUAGGGGAUGUUUGGAUUGUGACUAUAUUUGCCUUAUGUUGUCACAUUACUUUUUGCCACACUUGCCUAACUUGAGUUAGAUCAAAUUGUUAGCCACACUUUGGCUUGCCUAAGUGAAUCUUACCACACUUUUUGUGUCUAUGACAUGUGGGGUUCAUUGCUCAGAAAAAAUUCUUGCCUUAAGUGUGGCUAGAAGCAAACACCUACCUAACUUGAUCAAACUUGCUUAAGAUGAGGUGUGGCAAAGUGUAACAAUAUAUGGCUGGAAACCAAACAACCUCUUAAAUAAGUCUGAACGGUGUUCUGACCGGGGACGGAGGCAGGAUCGGGCCAGGGCCCGGGCCGGCUUCAGCGUACUGCAGCUACAGCGCUUCCGAACCAUGGCCUGUAGCCCCGGGCAGGCUUCACUGUGGCACUGUAGCCCUUGGCUACCGGCAGUACAGGAGAAAUCUGAAGAAACUAGACAGCCAGGACACUGGCUGCUGUCGUGUCACACACACAAAAAAAUAAAUUGAAUUGCAUCAAGCAAGGAUAAUUAGGGCUCAGCUUGUGUGGGGGAACGGGAAUGGGGCACACUCACUGUUGUGCAUUCAAGAAAGGCCUGGGAUCCUCUUCUGAAUUUCUUACAUGGGUGUUAAACACCAGCUUCAGACGAGCAGUGGAUGGGUAGCGAUAGGCAAUAGCAUAGCACACCCUUUCUUCCCUGAAGCCAGGCCAGGCAACGGUCCAGUACCAAUUAUAGGUACCCGGGACAGUGCAUUAACACGACUCAACCAGGAGCGGGCGAGCGAUCACCAUUGCCGAGCCCAGGAUUUGCCCUACUACUCUGUAACUUGAACACAGUCCAAGGUUUACAGAUUGCCAGACCAAAGCAAGCUCCAGCGAAUUGAGAUGUUUCUUCUCCAAAUAAAUUGAGUGAAAGCGUCUGAAGAACACCGAGAAGAAUUGCUUGCAGUGUACUCGUGGAUUCUGAAUGGAACUAGGUGAUGAAAGCUAUGCAAGGUGCGGCAGUAGGCCUGUGGUUUUUUUGGGUAGAGGAGAGGCAUGGCGGCCAUGGAUGGAUGGAUGGGAUGGCGGCAUGGGCAUGCCUGAACCUGAACCUGAACCUGAACCUGGACAAGCAAGCAAGCUGCACUGUCUCUCUGAUAGUCUGAUUGUGCCUCCGCCCGCUGCUCGCGUGUGCGUGCGUGCGUGGGCGUACAGUUACCUAGCACGUAUAGUACGAGUAGUACCCAUCGUCAGUCAAUCAUCACGCGCGGCAUGGGACUGUUGAAAACCCGCUCUUGAUGCAGCACUGCUUCAUCAUUGGCAUCAUGGGUUUCAGAGCGACCUCCCUCCUCUGUGUCUCUUUGAUUCUUCAUCCUCCUAGCGGCCGGGUAGCAGCAUGCAGGCAGGGAGCGUGGGAUUGGUCUAUUGUGGCCACGGCAACGUGGCGUCAUAGACUCAUGGUGCCCUGUCCUCUGUUGUACUACAAGCAAUGAUUUCCUCUUCAUUUGUUCGCUUGUCCUCGACACAGGUUGAAUUCGUGCCUACAGAUGAAGGACUUGCGCAAUCUAUCUAAAAAAUCGUUACGAAUUCGAAUUCACGUUGAUUGCUCCCCUUAUCUUCUAGAUUGGUGGUGUUUUAGUAUCUUACCGCUUGAAUGAAAUUCGUUAUUCUAACCUCAAGUUUUACUGCUCAUCACGAGCUUAAAUGAGCUCGCGAGCAGUAGGUGACUUUUGGUUUUAGAUGUGUUAUUUAGGAAAGAAGGAGCAAAAUAUCGCAAAUGAUAUAACUCGCUUACUGCUAAAUGUAUCUCUUUUUUUUUUAGAAAGUGCUAAAUGUAUCUUUGUCUCGCCUUUGGCGCCAGCUGUGUAAUAGUCUAAGUGGACUGGCCCAAUAGAGCGGUUCUGGGAAGGUUCCAUUGACAGGUACAAUUCGGUUUUGAACCUUCCGCGUAUUUUUUUCUUUCCUUUUUUCCCUUUGUGUGUUUUCUUGGUCGGGUUUCUUAGAGUUUUUUCUUAUUUUAUGAUCUGUGUUUUUUUUGGUUCUCUUUGUUUUUUUUCGGUUUUUCUGGUUCGUUUUUUCUUACUACCUUCGUCUCAAAAUAUAUGAUGUAUUUGUAGGCUACUGUAGCCUAAAAAAUGUCAUAUAUUUCGAGACAGAGGUAGUAUUUUUAUCAAACACAUGUCAUUUUUAAUAGAAGUUAAACAUUUUUGGAUACAUGUUGAAAAUUUGUCACAUGCACAUUAGACAUUCUUUGUACAUAAGUUGAACAGUUUUCAAAUACACGUAGAAACAUUUUGAAUGCACACUGAACAUUUUUCUGAAUACAUGUUGAACAUUUAACAGAUACACGGUGAACAUUUUUUCAAAACACAUUGAACAAUUUUUAAGUAUUGAACAUUUUCUAAAUUCACACUGAAUGUUUUUCAAAAAUGCGCAAAUCAUUUUUAAGUGUUGAACAUUUUCUCAAUCCACACUGAAUGUUUUGAAAAUACACGGGGAGCAUUUUUCAUUAAUAAUAAUAAUAUGAAUAUUUUUCAAAACACGCAAAACAUUUUGUAAGCGUUAGGAACAUUUCUUUAAAUGCCAUGAACUUUUUUUUCCAUAUGGUACAAAACAUUUUCCAAAGUGACGCGAACAUCUUUUCCUAAUAAUGUCACAAACAUAUCUCUGUAAAUGUGAUGAACAAUGUUUUGAUGAUAUGAACAUUUUUUACAAUUGACAUGAAAAGUGUUUUGCAGUAGAUGAACAUUUUUAAUGUUUAGUGAUUUUUCUAAAUUUUAGUAGGAUAAUUUUCGAUAUAUGUAUAUAUUAGUUUUCGAAAAAUAUAAAAAAAGAGAAUAAUCUGUAAUUUGUAAUAUGUAUAUGGGCCGCAGCAAACGGCGAACGUACAUACUAUAACGAUGUAACAGCCGACGCAACGAUCAGUUUGAGAGACGUAGAUGCUCCCUGGAAUAAUCUGUAAUUUGAGUAGUAGCUGCGGCCCAUCUCUACAUGCCACGGCCUAACAGUUGAGGCCCAAACAGUUGGCUUUGCAGCGUCGUCUCAAAAAAAAAAGUUGGCUUUGCAGGGCAAUAAAAAACUACCGCACGCGGUCAAAGGUUGAGUGUUCUGGAAAGACGCGCUCAGUCAUCGGAAGCGGCUCCCCGACAGCUGGAACGUGCCCAGUCGACGAGGAAUGGGUUCCAGUCACUGAUCUGUGGUCCCGCCGUUGCACAGCCUGUCAUUCGGGUAUAAAGUGGACCCAUAUUAUAUGUUCAUUCUGAAUAUAAAAUAACCCCAGGCGUGAUCCUGCUGGGCCCCACGCGAUUGAGUACGCUUUGGAUGUUUUAAGAAAAGCCAAGCUUUUUCUGUGCAGCUAGACCCUGAACAUUUCUAGAUUUUACAGAACUACCCAGCCUAAUCCACAUAACCAUGCAUUAUUCAUGGAGAAACAAUUGGUCUUGGAUCUUCUUUUUGUUUAGAUUUUUUUAGCAACCUUUUUUUGUUUAGAUUUGUCAAACAACAAACCGUUGAAACAAAAAUAAUACCCCCUCCAUCCUAAAAUUGUUGUCUUCAAUUUGUCUAGAUACUGAUCAUGUGGAGGUCAGCUUACGUUACACUUAGAGGCGAACACAAAUCAAAUGAAAACAAUCGUCAUAGUUCCACAGAGAUAUACUCCCUCCGUUCCUAAAUAUUUGUCUUUUUAGAGAUUUCAAAUGGACAACCAAAUACGGAUGUAUAUAGACACAUUUUAGAAUGUAGAUUCACUCAUUUUGAUCCGUAUGUAGUCACUUGUUGAAAUCUCUAAAAAAACAAAUAUUAACGGAGGGAGUACAAGCAAACACUGUCACAACAGUCACACCCACCCCUUUAACGAACAAAUGGAUCACUUAUGCCACUUUUGAAGCAUCAUGUUGCUUCUCCCAAGUUUUCCAGGAUUUUCAAUGCACAAAAUUUUCCUAAUUGCUUUAAUUUCCGAACGAUCUACUCGCUCUGUCUCCCAUAUUAAUUGUAAUAACGUCUUAUAUUCCCGCAAAAAAAAACAUCUUAUAUCAUAGGACAGAGGGAGUAGUAUUUAAAAUUCAAGCACAAACUACAUAUUUGUUCCCCUUAGAAGUGGAUAAUAAAUGUGCAUAUGCAAAAAUGCUAGAAAAUGUUCGUAGGUGCUAACUCUAUGUCUAAGCUAUAACUAAAAUGACGUGACCUUGAUUCGACACCUAUGUGUCUCAACAUCAACAACGUUCCGUAGGUCGCUGUUGCGUCAGCAAGUCCUAUAUUCAUCGACAUUUUGCUAUAUAUAGCUUCCUCGGUCUCCGAUCUCCAUGAUUUUUAGUCUUGGCCGAACGCUGUGAGCGCGCGUGUGUUCACUCUUUGAUCAUGUAUUGCGUCUACAUGAUUUGCUAGACCCUGUUGGCUAGGCCCGCAAGCAGCGCAGGCGCACGAUGUUUAGAGAUUUCUUUUGUAAAAUAAAAAUAUGCCUCCAAGGACUAGUCCUGAACGGAGUAUUAUAAAAACCAAUAUUAUGAAACCGCGAGGAUCUAUCUAUCUAUAAACAUCCUCCCCUCGACCUUUACGGAAUGAGAACGGAAUCCCUUUUGCGGCCCACCCCUGGAAAGUUCCGUAAAUUCCCGUCCCGUGGAGACAGCGGCCCAACACCAACAGCAACCUGGUAGUACUACUAGUACUGGUAAACAAAUUUCGAGUGGCCAACAGCAAGGAGGAUCGAUCUCCAGAGAGAUUACUCGCUCCCUCCCCCGCGGCGUUUCUUGGAUUUGUCUCCGGAGGAGGAAUCCGGAGCGCCCCAUCCGCGUCUCGAUCGAAUCGCCGGCCCCGUCGCUUCCGCGGAGCUCCCCCGAUCCCGUCGCCCGGUGCGGUUCGAAUUCCGCCCGAAUUGGCGUUCUUGGCGAUCGGUUUGGAGGCGGGACUGGAUUCUUGAUUGGCUGGCCGAGUUGUCUCUGCGGGGAAGCUCCGUCGGCCGGGAAUCGCGCCUUCCUCGUCCGGCCAAGGUGAGCGGCGAGUUCUUCGAUCGGUUAGUUCGGUACAACUGUCAGCGCUUAGCGGUGGGGAUUCUCUGCGGAAUUCCCCCCUUGUUUCUAGCAGAAUUCAGGAGUGAGUUUCAAUGUUUCUUUUGUACCUAGUACUGUAUAUGUGCUAAAUUCGGAGUCUUUGUUGGAAUAUCUCUGAGUGAUGCUCUAUUACAGACGAAAAAGAACUGAUGCUCUCUCCAUUUUUUUUAGAGAAAUACCAAUCUUGGUAAUUGUGGUGGUCAAUUCCCAAAGUAUAUCAUCAAAUUGUGCUGUUUUUAAUCAUGUUAUGUAUGCACUACUUUCUGUAGGAUCAUUGCUCAAAUAAUACCAAGCUGUGCAAUGUCAUGGUUGCCAGUGGCUAAACAUCGCGAUUCUUAAUACACAAUUCUUUCCGCCAGGGAAAUGUGCUAACGAGGGUCUAAUGGGGCAUGAUGGAGGGCAGGAAAGACAGGGGGAGAUCUCGUAGCGUGUUUCGGCGGAUGGCGAUGCAGUGCCUCUGCUCCGGGGAGCAGGCCAAUCUGGUGGAUGAGCUGAACCCGUCCAAUGGCGAAAUCGAGUUGUAUGCCAAAAAUGACGGUCUUCGGGAAGCCGAGUUGUCUCUCCAGGAGGGUGGUUCCCUUAACUAUGAGGUUGGUGCUUCAUCUUGUAGCAUAAAUCUUCUCAUGACCAACAGUGCUUUUUUGUUGUUGAAUCUGCUCAUCGUUUUGAAUUGUCUACUCUAAUGCUUAUAUCACGUUUUCCUUGUACACUUUGCUUCAUGCCAAACGAUACUAUAUGCAACUGAAGUCCUUGAGCUGUUUAUCGGACUGUUUCAUGUAUUGAUUGUCUAUUUUUUCUCCAGAAGAGGGAAUCAUUUUGUCUUUGAUUCUGCUGCAUAAUGUGUCAAAAACAUCUGCCUGUGACAUCUUGUACACGCUUUCUGAAAUUAUAUGUCCCUCUGCCUGCUAUUUCUCUUCAUUGUAAUUCUAUAUUCAAUUUUAUGCUAGUUUGUAGUUACCAUCCUAUAAAUCACAACACAGUACAUACUCUGAAUUUCUGCACCCUGUGUGCUGUAGUACAUCAGUCUGCAAUUUGUACCUGUUGGUAUGCUCUAUUUCUCAAGUGCUUUCACAUGUGUAAGAAAGAUGCCUUGCCUAAUGAUUGUAAGCUUCAUAGCCGUCCCAAUAAGGGUGCUCCAAAUUUAUUUCAUUCAUAGUUCAUAAGUGUAAAUACCAAUAAAUUUUCAGGAAGCAAGGGCAUUGCUUGCAAAAGUCGAGUACCAACAGGGGCAUGUUGAAGAAGCACUUCGUGUGCUUGAUGGGAUAAAUACGGCUGAAUUAAUUCCUUUGGUGAAAAUGUCCAUCAGUAGAUUAGCAAGGGCCGAUCCACAUUCCAGUUAUCCACCAAUGUCCUUGCAUACUGUCAAUCUAGUAAUGGAGACAAUAUAUCUCAAAACUAUAGCACUUCGUGAUCUUGGGAAGUUGAAAGGUACAACCCGUACCUCUCGUUUUUGUACGGAUGCCCAUCAUUUGAUCUUCUCUUCAUCUCUGUCAUACUAUUUCAAACAUUACUUCAACUCAAUUUCGUUUUGCAGAAGCUGCACAGGAGUGCAGUACAAUAUUGGAUGUUAUAGAAUCAGCACUGCCUAAGGGCUUACCAGCCAACUUUGGAGAUGGUAGUAACUUGAAUGCAACAAUACGCAGUGCCGUUGAGUUGCUUCCUGAGCUAUGGAAAUUAGCGGAUUUCCCUCCUGAAGCGCUCUCUUCAUAUAGGAGGGCUCUCCUUAGUAGUUGGAAUCUCGAUGCAAAGGCCAUUGGUAGAAUACAGAAGGAGUUUGCUAUUUUUCUCCUAUACAGUGGCUGUGAGGCCUGCACUCCACCUCUUCGAUCCCAAUUGGAUGGUUCAUUUGUACCUCAGAAUAAUUUGGAGGAAGCUAUUCUUCUUUUGAUGAUUUUAUUGAUGAAAUUCAACCUUAAGAGGCUUGAGAGAGACCCAACUGUGAUGCAUCAUCUGACUUUUGCAUUGUCCAUAUCAGGGCGGUUAAAACCUCUAGCCGGUCAGUUUGAAAAACUAUUACCUGGUGUGUUACACAGCAGAGAGUGGCUGUACAAUGUUGCACUGUGUUACCUAGCAGAAGAAGAUGAUCUAGCUGCCCUCAAUCUGCUCAAAAUGAUACUAAGAUUUGGAGAGGACUCCAGUUGUCUCAAAGAACUUCUUCUAACUUCAAAAAUUUGUAGCGAGAACGGUGCACAUGCUGAAGAAGGUGCAUCCUAUGCACGCAGAGCCCUUGCUAGUCUCGAUGGAGGUUGUGACCAGUUAGAGGUUGUCGCGGACCUUCUACUUGGCAUUUCCCUCUCCCGUCAAGCUAGAUAUGCUCCGAGUGGUACGGAGAGGGCUUCUCAGCAGCGUGAAGCACUGAAGGUGCUUGGUGUUGCUGAAAAGAAGAUGCAAGACAAAGAUUUUAGGGUACUGUACAAUCUGAGCCUUGAAAAUGCUGAGCAGAGGAAACUAGAUGUAGCAGCUCUUUAUGCAAAGAAGUUACUGAAAUUGGAGAAUGGUUCAGAAUUAAGGAGCUGGCUCCUUGUAGCUCGUAUCACGAGUGCUCAAAAACGGUUCGAAGAUGCUGAAUCUAUUGUAAAUGCUGCCCUUGAUCAGACUGCAAAGUGUUGCCAAGGAGAUCUGUUGCAAACCAAAGCCAAAAUUCAGGCUGCAAAUGGGCAAUUUAAGAAGGCAGUCGAGACUUAUACCCAGCUUCUUGCUGUCAUCCAACUCAGGAAGAAAAGUUUCAACUCUGGGAAUUUUGUAUUACAGGUAGCUACCUGAUAAAAAAUCGAUUUUGGAGUUUUUCCUAAAACAUACGACUGUCGUGCUUAAUAUUUUCACAGCAUUAUCUUUCAUUUCUGUACUGUAUCUAUUUGCAUAUAUGAUGACAAACUGAAAACAAAAAUCUGUAUCUGUUAAAUAAAUAACCUUUUACUGUAAUAAGAAAAAGCCAGCCCGAACAGUUUCUUAUCAUAUCUUUGAUUAAUGACAGCUAGAAGGACAAGCAUCUUACAUGAUUUUUAAGCAUAUACAUUCAGUUGACAGAAUAAAUUGCAAUGCCAUGUUGGGAAUGAUUGCUUUUGAGUAAAAGGGGAGAGCAUUGUUCUGUUUGCCGCAUACAGUUAUGGGAUUCCAUUAGAAAAAGAAGUGAGAAGACUUCUGAUAUCGCUGUUCAACUUUUCGCAGGGCUCGAAGGAUGAUGGUAGCAUGGAAACAGAGGCAUGGUACAAUCUGGCCCUUCUGUACCUAAGCCUGUCACAGUGGAGGGAUACAGAGCUUUGCAUAUCGAAAAUAAAGGCUAUCAGUGCAUAUUCUCCCUUGGCUUAUCAUGCUACAGGUGCUUCAUAUUCUCCUUACCACCAACUUCCCCAUUCUCAAGAAUCCUUGCACCGUGUUGACACAACAACAUUUUCAGUAGUUCACAAGGAGACACCAAUUCUUCACCGGAAAACAAAAUUCAUUCUUAAUAUUUACGAAGAUGUUUAUCCAUGCAGGAAAGCUACUUGAAGCAAGAGGGUUUCUAAAGGAGGCUCUUGGAGCAUACUCCAAAGCAUUGGAUCUCGACCCUAAGCACGUACCGAGUUUGAUAUCUGCCGCCGUUGCUCUUCGACAGCUUGGAGGCAGGCCCUUGCCUGCCGCAAGGUGCCUCCUAUCUGACGCACUGAGACUGGACAGAACGAACCAUGUUGCAUGGUUUAACCUCGGCCUAACCUAUGAAGAUGAAGGGGGCAGUUCAUCAGCAGCACUUGAAGCUGCCGAAUGUUUUCAGGCGGCUGCCCUUCUCGAAGAAACCGCCCCGGCUGAACCGUUCAGAUAACAUCGCAUCCAACUUUUAUAGGGAAUAAUCAAACUGUGAGCAGUUGUAGGUCUCAUAUAUAGGAUGAAUAGUGGGUUUGAAGAAAAGAAGUAUACACGGUACAGAAAAUAGUAAAAUACAAAACGCAUGUAUCAUCAUAAUUGCGUUGAUUUUACCAACAUGUUGAAAUUAUAUAUAGCAUCACACGCCCUGGCAGCUCGUGUUUAACUGGCAACUUUUUGCUAUGUGAUUUGGCUGUAAUUUUGAAAGAGCACACGUGAAACGUUGUUAAUAUCACUUCACUAUCAGUACAUUUUGACCAGCACAGAAUGCAAACCAGAUGCUGUAAUAAGCACUAAGGCAGGGAUUGAAAACACAUGCAUUUUUUUCACAGAGUAAACGUCACUGGAAGAACCACAACCAUUACUCAACUGGAUUGGAUGUUAUGUGAAACCAAAUACAUUUUUUUUAAAACCGGCAAGCAGCGUUUUUUUUAAACUUCUGCGAGAGGCACGGAUUUGCUUCCAUGAGAGGCACAGUCGUGCCUCGGAUUUGCUUUCGUGAGAGGAACAACAAGUUUUUUUUCAGGAGAGGCACAGUCGUGACUCUUUUGAAAAGAAAAAAAACAUGCUCCCGGUUAGUUUUUUUGUCUGUUUUUUGCCUUUUUUUCAGAAAAAAAUUCAUCAAAACUAAUCAAGACGAGACCUAUUUUCAAAGAUCUCAACGCGAGGAAUCCAACGGUGAAAACGGUUUGAUAUUUGGACGCACGGUUUAAGAGAUGUAAUGUUUUGAAUAAACGGAUCUACGGAAAAAGGAAACUCUCAGGUUGCAACAACUGGCACACAUGCGUCACUUGUUGCAAUCUGAGGAGGUGGGAAUGACCUUUGCAAAGGGUGCUCCUUAAUUAGUGAUUUCAACGGUGGGAAGCUUUGAGUAACUUUCCAUUCCGAUUUUCUUUCUGUUUUCUCCUUCGGUGUUUUUCAUUAUUUUUUUAAAAAUUUUCUUUUUCUCUUCAAAAUUUUUACUUUUUGUUUUCAUUUUUGGCCAUCCUCUCUUUAAAUUCAUGAUUUAUUUUCAUAUUCGUGAAAAAAAUUAGUUUCAUUUUUUUUCAUUUUUAUGAUUUUUCUAAAAUCGAUGAAAUUUUCUCAAAUUCCUGAUUUUUUUUUCAAACAGGUGAUUUUUUAAUCCGUAAAUGUCAUUAAAUUUAGGAUAUUCUUUUAUCAAAUUUGUGAACUCUUUUCGCAUCCAAGAGCCUUUUCAAACCCAAGAACUUUUUUAAAUCCAUAAACAUUCAUUAAAUGAGUGAACUUUUUACAGAGUCCACACAAUGUUUUUGAAACUCAUCAAUGUUUCUCAAAUUAAUGGACUAAAUCUCAAGCCUUUUAAAAUCCGUGAACACUUUUUCAUAUCAGAGCACUUUUUUUAGUUCCACAAAUUUCUUUUCAAAUUCAUUUUUUUUCAAAAUUAUAUGUUUUUUGAAAUCAUAGUUUUUUAAGUGCACAAAUUUUCCAAUGAAACUAUAUUAAACUGGUGGCCAUGUUACUUAGCGAACGUGCCUCGUGAAAGAGCGAGGAGGUACGAGAGGAUAGGUGGCACUUUCGGGCUGUGGCCCACAUAGCAAACUAGCGAGCACCAGGCCCCCUAUCGACGCCUGAACCGCUGAAUAGGAGGAGGUCUCGGCAAAUCUUAUUGGGCUUCUCCCCAACCUCGCGUAGUGGGCGGGCCCAUUAACUCUUCUUUUCUUGUUUUAAAGCAACAAAAAUGAUGUGCCCCACAAGACUCGAGCUGCACUGGUUCCGAUAUAGUAGUAUGGAUCAAUCUAACCAACUGGGCAACCCGACCUUAUGUGAUAGAUUCGUUUUAUUUCUUAAAACACAACAUUGGAAAAACACAAUGUUUCAUGUUUGGUCUUCUUUUUCUCUUUCUUUUUUUUGUAUCUUUCUAUUCUUUGCUUUCUUUUUCUUUUCAUAAAUGCACAAACUAUUUUAAAUUCGUGAAAUUUUUCAAAAAUCAGUGAACUUUUCCCCAAAAUUAAUGAACUUUUACAAAACUCAUGAACUAUUUUAAAAUUUGGUGAAAUUUUUUCAAAUUCGAGGAAAUUUUCUCAAAAUCGAUUAAGUUUAUUUUCAAAUUUUAUGAAUUUUUUUCAAAUUGGAGGAACUUUUUCAAAUUUGAUUAUCUUUUUUCAAAAUUUAUGAUCUUUUUUAAUUUUCGAUGAUUUUGUUUUUCAAAUUCGAUGAACUUUUUUCAAUUUUUAUGAACUUUUUUCAAAAUCGAUGAACUUUUUUUAAAUUCUUUUUUUUAAAAAUGCAUGAACAUCUUGAAACUCAUGAUUUUCCCCUUUUUUCUCGGUUUUUCAUUUUGUACUAAAGUCAAUGGUUGACAAUUCAGCGGCUGACCGGUCAACCCGACCAGUCAGCAGCGAACCUGCCUAAAAAAAUCAGCAGCGAACCCAGCGAGGCAGGGACCAACAGCUAACAAGUGCCGAGCAAGCGAGCGCGCGUUGGGCCGGCCCAAGUCGCGGCUCCAUGAGCGCCCCUUCCGCGAACGGGCGCCUGAAGCGCUGUAUAGGAGCUCCCAGAGGUCUCCGGAGGGACUCCUCCUAGCGAACCAUUUUCAUUCGCUUGAACACUCAUGGAUCAAUUUGUUCGUACAGGAAUCUCCCCAGAGGACGCGUUCACCAGAUAUUGUGGUCCCAAUAAAAACUCGCAUUUAAUAGAAGUGUAAACAUGAUGAUCAGCUACAUAUGUUCAACACAGUUUACCAUUUAUUUAGACAAAAGAGACAUUUAAUUAGUUAUGCAUGCAUGCAUGCACCAUCUCCGGGCAAGUUGUAUGGCCGGCUCCCGUAUUACUGUCCGUGGACUGGUCCGAAUGAGUCCACAGUUUUAAGGAUCGGCAUCGGAGAUCCUAACAAUUAUGCUGCUCUCGCCUUUUUGUAAUCUUAUUUUUCAAAAAUACACUACUAACUUUUACGGCCUCCUUAGUCACCCUAUCCACUCUCGUCAUGUUUUCGGGUUCCCUUUCAGGGGAUGAGGAUAUUUCGAUGAUUUCUCUGGUAAGAGUUCUUGUCAUUAUUGAUAGUGGCCCUAGAGAAAGAGCUUACGCUGAUUGUUCUAACUUCAUUCAUAUUUGAUUCCGCAACUGAGACCUUUUCCCACAUCUGUGCCAGGAGCACUGGCGGAGCGUAGUGAGGACAAUACCGGGCCUUGGCCACCCCUUGCUAGAGAAAAAUUUACACGGUAUGCUUAUAUUUCUACUAAUCGCUCUACUAAUCCUCCGGCAUGUCUGAUCACCCUAGCCUUUUCUAUGUCAUAGCACACUCGUCUUGGCCCCUCCUUACAUUUGGUUCACGCUCCGCCACUGGCCAGGAGGGCAAGCGGUCAAAGCAGAAAGGGUUCUCGCUUCUCCGUCUGGAAGGACACCGAAUGGACCAAAUCCUAUCGAUCUUUCCUUGGCAUGAUGAUCAUGAUCUGCAAAGUCUGCCAUUUCUUUAGACUAGUAAUCAUGCACGUGCAACGCACGUAUAAUCGUAGAAAGAAAUUUUCCAAUUCAUCCUAGUUAGGAGACAAUUAUUUCAAUAAAAUGAUCAAGUGCAAUAAUGUAACUCCAAUCUUUUGAGCUAAAUAUAGCUUUGCAGAUAUAGUUCUUUCCAUAUGAGCACCAUGUCUCCCGCCGAACAUGCACACACAAUGGACUUCUCAACCAUACAGAAAGACUUAACAAAAACACAUUACAUACAACAGUAACUUAGUCAAUUUCGUCCCACAAAUUGAUAGUCAAGUAACACACAGAUAGAAACUUGGUCAUAGGCUCUGGAUCCAUAUGAAAAAAGAGUACAAAAUAAAACACUGGGGGCUUAGUGACCUAAGUGCCAUGUCAUAACCUAUGUAAUGCUUUUGGAAGUAUACCAGAGUGUUCCUUUUGUGAGAGCAGGGGAACUUGCAAAGAAUGUUUUCAUGUAAAUGAACGAAAUUGAUCUUGUUCCUAAUUAUAAAAUAUUUUUAAACAUUUUGCCCUUUUUUAACAUGCUAUAUACUCAGUACCCAAACAAAAUCAUGUAGCAACCGAAAAGGUAUAGGCAGAACACGUACUCUAUCAGAAGUGAACUUUGGUUCGGACAAAAUCUAGGUUGAGGCUUUGAGUACAUUUGCAAGAACACACGCAUAUCCAGAAUGUUUAGCUGAUAUAUCAUUUCAGAGAAAAUCUGCACGAAAAUCUGCACCACUGGGAAAAUAGCAAGCUAUCUGAUGGAUAUAAUUUUUGCUGAGCCAAUGACCAGACAAAAUCUGAAGUAAUAACUGAAAUUGAGAAGGCUAUAAGAAAUCACUGUGCAGCUACAUCUUCAACUAUACACAUAACAUAGCAAUAUUGGGCACUACAGGCAAAGAUAUGAUAAGAUGAACAUGCUCCUCUGAUCGUCUGAACUGACAAGCUGACAUAUAACAGUCAUUUUUUCUUUGAGAAAAUUUAAUAGAUGCACAUCACUGCAAAAAGAUUGGGAAAUUUCUUUGCUUACCUCAUGCCCGCAGAAAUCAAAAAUACAAGAUGCUUUAUUAUCAACAGAAGUCGCAGGUCUGGGAACUACUUCAGAUAUGAAUAAUUUGGACAGGGUGGUCAUUGUGCAAAUAAUCAUAUCCAAAAUUAUAUAUACGAUUUAUGUUGCAACACAAUAGGUCGACAAAAAAUUCUGAAAAAAACAGUCAAUAAAAUAGGCAUAUGUCAAGGUUAUUUGCAUCAACAUAACAAAUGAUAUACCAUCAAAAACAACAUCUCAAAUAUCAAAUAUGUAAGCUUCACAAAUUGCCUAUGCAAGUAUAUACACCAAUAAGUUUGUUCACAUGAUCCAGCAUCACGUCUUUGUACAAUAAUGCCAUACAACGAUGUCAUUUAACCAAAUACAUUAAUUUCAAGAGGGUUCAAAAAUUCGGUAUUUUUGCACUUGUUUUUGGCACAAAUAUCUCUCUGACUGAAAAAAUCAUGCAAUGAUCAUGAUCAAAUAGGCAUUGCAAACUCACUCCAAUAGCAUUACCAAAAUACCAAAAAUAUUCCUAGCAAUCCUUGAAGAUAGAGGGGGCAUUUCAUCAGGUCACAAUCUAGUCGUUGGAAUCAGUUCUUCAAUAAGACAAUAGCGAUAAUUGUUGUAGAUAAAGUAGACAUAUCUCCAAGGAACUUUCAUGUAUUUUGAAAAUGAAGCGUCAAACGGAAUAGUGAAAAACAAGGAAACCACACCUUGACGUUCCAGAUCUAGGAAGCAUUAGAUGUAGUUAUCUGAUUGCAAGUAGAUAACCGUUGCAGUACAGUGUGAAAUAAAAAACAGACAGAAAAAUCUUAUUAUUUAUGAACCGUGGUUCCACUUCCUUCCCUAUAGUAGCAAGCAUGAUCGAGUACCUUUGACUGGAAAGAAAAGAUGUCUUCAGUAAGUUUUGCUGUAUUGUCAGUUUAUUAUUUGCAAAUUACACGAAAUCCGAUAAACCAUGCAAGAGACCACUACACAGUUGAAGCUUAUCAUCAGUAAAUCUCGCAUUCGAUUUCUCACUAUCAAUUGCACAGGAGAGUAUAAUCCACAGAAAUUUCGAAAGUGGAGGAAAUCAGUGAGCGGAGAUGGGGGGUGGAGAGCUGACCGACAGUGGAAGAGGCCUUUGAGAUUGGUGUGGCUCACGCGGAGGAGCAUAUCUUCCUGAAUGUAAAAUUAAUAAAAGCCUAGUCAACCCAAUUGCACAAUACAAACCAAUCUCCUUUUUUCAGAUGGUAGAUGUCAAUAGCAUCUCAUUCAACUUGACAUGAAAUAGCACUUCUGAAGAAUGUCAAACAAUACGCAUGCCUGUAACUGACAGUUCCCAUUUCAGAUCCCAGUUCACCAUAUUCAGUUAUAAGAACGUAUGACCUGGAUGGAUGCUCUAAUAAAACCAAUGCCAGCUUCCAAUUCCUUCACCAAAGGCAUGCCACCUCCAAGAUGUUAGCAGAGAAAAGCAACGGUGCGUACCUUCGGAACAAUUAGAUCAAAAUAUCACUGCACGAUUCGGAGCGGUUUGCCUGACGCAUUCGGAGCAGGAGGCACUGCUUGGUGCCGACGUCGAUGCGCCGCACAAUGCCCAUUAGCGGAUCCGGUAGCAGGCGGGGUGACCUCUCUGCGGCGACCUCGUCCUCCUCCCCCGCGUCUGACAGGGAUAUCAGGCGAGACCACAGAGAAGCGGCAGGCGUCGACCCGCGACACACGCGUAAGGAGAGGCCGCCGGCUAGAGGUGUGUGCUGACGGCGUGAGUGGGGCGGCGGCGGAUAGGAGGAGCGGCGGUGAAGGUGGCAUCGAGGAGGGCCGGCGGUGGGGCGGCGCAGGUCGCCGGCGUGAGAGCAUGCUCCGGCGGGCGACGAACCGGUGCGGCGGCGGAUAUGAGGAGCGGUGGUGAAGGUGGCGUCCAGGAGGGCCGGCGGUGGGGCGGCGCAGGUCGCCGGCGUGAGAGCAUGCUUCGGCGGGCGGCGCGUGUGGCGCGGCGGCCGGUCGGACGGACGACGGCAGCAGGCGAAGAGAGAAACGGGAGAGGAGAGGGAGGCGUUUGGGCGGACAGCCGGCAGCGCCGGCGACGCGUGGUGUAGGCGAGGCCCAGCGGCGGCGGACGGCGCCAGAUCGGGCGCCUGGCGCUCCGGAGGAGAAGAUGAGAUUAAUUGGGAGGGAGAUCGAGUGUGCCUGGAGCAGAGGAAUUAGCGGGAUAAACAACUCGCCAACGCGAUUCGGGUGGAAUCAAUCCGGCACGCGGAGCGCUAGGAGAAUUGGCAGACCGAGGCGUCUGCUCGGCAGAACAUCUGAUCUAAGCCGUUGAUUUGGAUGGCAGACCAUUUGCGUAAUAUGGACAGUAGGAUAUGUUUAAUUUGAUUUGAUCGGAGGGUCCUGCUUAUCCCGUGUAUAGUUUGUUGUGUGGCUUUAGGAGAGUUUAUGUUUGCUCUUUUAAUAGUAGUAUAGAUGCGUAAUAUGGACAGUAGGAUAUGUUUAAUUUGAUUUGAUCGGAGGGUCCUGCUUAUCCCGUAUACAGUUUGUUGUGUGGCUUUAGGGGGUUUUAUGUUUGCUAUUUUAAUAGUAGUAUAGAUAUAGAUAUACAUAUAGAAGAAAAAAAACGACCUCUUUGGCUAGGUAUGCAUGCAUGCACCGCCUCCAGAUUUUCACGGAACUUGAUUGACAACAAUUCCCAUCUGGAGUCGGCGGCGCCUACAUCGUCGCCCUGCUAGCCUAUUAAUACCAUCCGUGGCGGCAUCCAGUCCACCUGGUCGACUCGAUCAUAUCGCCACGCAAAACCCACCCCAAACCCCCAAGAUCGAUCUAUCGAUCGAUAUGAAGAUGGUUCGUCUCCGCAGCUCCGACGGCGAGGAGUUCGAGGUGGCGGAGGAGACCAUCGGCGCGGCGUCGGUGAUGAUCAAGGGCAUGCUAGAGGACGACGUCGCCGUCGUCGUGAUCCCGCUCCCCAACGUGACCGGCCCCAUCCUCUCCCGCAUCCUCGACUACGUCAACAGGCACUUCUCCGACCCCCACAACGUCACCUCGCACACCCCCGGCGCCGACGACCCCCUCAGGCGGUUCGACGACUCCUUCGUCCAGGUCGACCAGGACACCCUCUUCGACCUCAUGCUCGUAAGCAGCCCUCACGAUCUCUCUCUUCGAUUCGAUCUAGGAGUAGUUAACUGCUAGAUUGAUUUGGAACUCGCGAUGUACGUUCAUGCAGGCUGCCAAUUACCUCGACAUGCAGAGCCUGCUCGACCUGACGUGCAAGACGGUGGCGGACCAGAUCAGGGGCAGGACCCUCGAGGAGAUCCGCAAGAAGUUCAACAUCCGCAACGACUACACCAAGGAUGAGGAGCAGGAGGUCCGCAGGGAGAACUCGUGGGCAUUCAAUUAGAAGCCGUCUAGCUAUUUGCUUGUCCAUUUGAUCAUCACUGCGUAGGCUAUCCAUCGGUCGAUCCACGGCUAUGAUGGGCCUGGUUACUUGAUCAUAUGCGCUUUCUCACUCUUAUAAAGCAAUCAACGGGGCCGAAAUGCCUACCUGGAUGUGCACGGACUAGGGUUUUACAGACUCGGGGUUUCUCACCAUUGCAUGCAUGAGCUAGCUCAAUUUUUAGCCUCCCGGCCGGCUCCCGCAGCGUUCCUCAGAUAGAAGGCACCGGGGAGCUCAGCUAUGAAAGAACUUUGUGGGGAGUAAGACAAGGGGAUCUGUUUCUUACUUUGCCGAGUGCCCGUGUUUUGACUCUCGGCGAAGACCAUGACACCCGGCGUAUACGAAUUUUUCAGUAGUGGUAGACGAACAACGACGAAAUCCGAGCAAAUCUAUCAAAGAUGAUUUGCGUCUGAAUAAAUGCAAGAUUAUUCACUCUAAUGCCGAGGGAUGAAGUCCAGGACAGAAAUAUGAAAAAGAGAGAACUAAAUGGGGCACAGCUUAGUUAGUGAACAUAAGAACCCAAGACUUCUACUGCCACGAGAACUGGAAGUACGGCGACGUCCCUUCCGAGUAGCCAUCAGCGCCGACGUGGAAGAUCCCAUGGCAGUUCAUCUCGUUGUCGUUCCAGCUCAGGACCUGCGCGCCAGUGUUGAGCUGCUCGAUGUCCAUGCUGGGUAAGGCGGCGAACCCGGCGGCAGUGCAGACACCGCUGGAGGCCUGGGAGCAGGCGAACCAGGAGGAGCUGCUGAACUGCUGGUCGGGAACGAGGCACUGCUGGGCCACAGAAGGGAUUUGCUCGCUUGGACGGACCAUCUGGGUGAUGUCCAUGCUGGAGGAGUUGGCCGGGGACGACAGAAUAGAGAGAACACAAUCAGAGCUGAGCACGAUGCUGCUGCUGCUCUCGGGUGGGGGCGGGGUGACGGCCAUCAGGAGAGGCUGGCACACGGGGAUCUCGAGGGCCGCCGCGCCUGCACUGAAGCUCAUUGGGUCUCCUUCGUGUAGAAAGGGGAAGUGCCAGCCUUCCAUAGUGUCGGACGACGUCGAGCCGGUGAAGUUCUGCCUGCUUUUGCUAAGAACCUCGUGGGUGUAGUACGGAUUGCUAUCAUCGUAUUUGAUGAUCCCGGACCAGCUUGGCUCUGCCCUCGGAGCAGAGAACGACGCCAAACUUGUCUCUCCAUUUGAAUACAAACCUGAAUGGCCGUCAUGAAACGAGCUCAAGAGUUUAGACUGCUAUCCAAAUAUAGAAAUAUACAACAUUGAAAAUGCAGGCAUUGUGCAACCAGCCAGUUCAUUUGAAUAUUCAGGUUGCAUUAUGCUCUUGUGGCCAAGGAAGAAUAGUACUCCCUCCGUUUCUUUUUAGUCUGCAUAUAAGAUUUGGUCAAAGUACCUUUAUAGAAAAAACAUAUCAACAUCUACAAUACAGAAGUUAUAUGUUAUGAAAAUUAAUUUCAUCAUGCAUCUAAUAAUAUUGAUUUCAUAGUGUGAAUGUUGAUAUCUUUUCCUACAAAGCUAGUCAAACUUCACAAAGGCUGACUUUGACCAAAUCAUAUAUGCUGACUAAAAAGAAACGGAGGGAGUACCCGUGACAUUUAUUUUCGAACAUAUAAAACUAUAGUGAACACCAUCUUACUCAUGAAUCCGAUAGUACAAAGGGUAACGAAAGGCAUAUAGUAUAUAGUGCCAUUUCCUGUUUGCUGUCUGGGUUGCAGGAUGUGUUUUUUUUGAAAAAGAGGAUUACCCCCGGCCUCUGCAUCUGAAAGAUGCACGCGGCCAUAUUAUUAAAAAAUGGCAGCAAAAAAAGUCCCAUCUUUACUUCUUAUGGGAAAAUGCAGGUGGUCAAGCUUAUUAUCAGUUAGACAGGAAAUAAUAUGUCCCGACUAAUUAAAUACAAAACCGUAGUUUUGCAGGCUAGCUAGAUGUAUGGACAACUAUAGAUAACAACAGCAGUUUGGCGAGGGUUUACAUUUGAGUUAAUGUACUUAAUAACUUAAGUUCUGGUUUUGAGAUUACUAUAUAUUUUGUUUGUUUCAGCUAUGUCAAAGUAGCAAUCGACAAGCUAGCAAAACAGUGGUUAAACAAAUAAAAUACCUUGUUGGGUUGUCAUAAAGCUCCAAGAAUCCUUGCUAACCACCUGUGGCGUCCUGCGGCGCCUGUUGCGCUCGUCAAGGCGCUUUCUACAGCUACGCUUAGCCUCGUCAAACUCCUCAAGUAAGUGAAACCUAAAGAGAAAAAGAUUCAUGAUAAAAGACAUAAGCAUUUAAGUCAAAAUGAGUCAUAAUACUAACAUAUAUGAAUGAAUAGGUACCCAUUUAGGAAUAUGUACUAAUCAAUAUCAUCCUUAAUUACAUAGUAACACUGCUAUGACAUGUUUUCCUUGAGGAAAAAUCUCCCACUGUUAAUGUAUACUCCCCCGUUCCAUAAUUCUUGUCAUGGUUUUAGUUCAAAGAGGAACUAAAACCACGGCAGUUAUGGAACGGAUGGAGUACUGAGCAUAUAUGAUUGUUCUAGCAGGAAGAGAGCAAAUCAUAACACACUUGAAGACCGUCAGGUAUAGAACCUUGCAUAACCUUGCUAUUAACAAGUAAAAUUAUCUCUUAAUAUCUUGUCACUAUCAUAAUAGAGUUAAGUGUUAGAAGAAAAUGAUAUCGUAACAUCAUGGACAAAUAUGCCAAGAACUAAGUAUGGCAUUCGGGAUUAGAGAGAAUUUGUAUGCAAGUGCACCACUUUUAUGCUGAAAGCAGGCAUGGAAUUCUAGAAGAGACAACUUAGGUUUAGGUUAUUCAUUUAAAACCAUCACUACAGAUUUUGAUAUUGUUUUCUGAGCAAAUAAUCUGCUUUGAUAAAAUAAAGCACCUGAAUAAUUAAAAGCUUCAAGGACUAACAUGCUACUCGAACAUAAUGGUCUGAAUAUUUAUUUGCUCAGUAUUAAAACCGCACACACAGAUUCUCUAAAGAAAGAGUACUACACAGCUGGACCACUCAGAUUUCAGUGCAUCGGUUAAGAAUUUCAGUGCAUGGGGCUUCACUAUACAAAAGCUUUCUACUGGGCCCUGUAAAAAGCACAGUAAAUUAGUGCAACUCUUGUUGGACAUUUGGACCACAAUAUGGGUUCUAGCAGGAAGUAUAUACUCCCUCCGUCCGGGUUUAUUAGGCCUAAAGACAACUUCUCUUAGACUAAGACACAUAGUAAUUUGAUCACAUUAAUUCUUCCAUUCCACUCUCAAUGCACUCUCUCACAUGCAUGCAGCCAAUGAAAAAGCACGCAUGAAGUGUAUUAAUUUUUCAACCAUGGUACCAACAACAAUGGCUUUCAAUGCAACCAAUGAAAUGGUUGCAUGCAUGCACCUUUCCAAGGCAGGGCCUUAUAAGAGGGGACAUGCUUGUGAUGCUGAGAGACCUAAUAAACCCGGACGGAGGGAGUAUAUGGCAGUGCAACACCAGCCUAAAGGAGCACUGAUAUGAAGUCUAUUAAACGGUAUGGUCAUCCAAAUUUUCCUUGAUUGGGUGCUCUAUUGCCUGCUAUAUGCUUGAUAGCUAAUUAACCAAUCAUUGGAAAUGUACUGCACUGGAUAAACAAAAUUUAGAAGAGACCAAAAACGAUCGAUGGAUAAUUUUUGUAUUGCUUAAUGUUUCUAGGCACAUGAGGCAGAUUUAGUUCCUCACCACAUCUCAAAAAUAUAGAAGACACCAACUCAAUGGAGCUAGAGUUGAACCUUAAAAGAUUUCAAGCAACGCGCCAGAAUUGUGAAAUGAACCAGGCAAAAAAGUGCAUUACAAAAACACGUGAAAUUGGAGGCACCCAAUUUGCUCAAAGGAUGUGAAUUCCCAUAUCAAACAAAUAGACAUCAUUUUAACAGAGUCAAAUUGCAGUGGAAGACCUAUUUAAAUAAAAUAUUUUAAGGGAAUAUAGAUGAGAUGCUAUACUAAACAUUAGUAUUUACAUCGAGUUCAGAAAAUAACACAAUAAUGUUUCUAUGGAGCAGAACUCCAAGAGAAAUAAAUGCAUUAAUAGUUCAGCUAGAAAGAAGGGCAAACUAAGAACAACUACUUUCUAUCUAUUUGACAGUAGAAGAAAAAAGUUCUUAUGGAUCGGAGUACCUGAGAAGCAUUAGUACAGAAAUGGUUACCCACAACAUUAGGUGGCGUGCCAGUUUCAAUCCAUGCCAACACUAUAUUUUUGAAAUAGUAGCGGCAUGGGUGGCGUUGCUCAUUUGUAACACGCCAUAUUGUGGGACUAAGUGUAGUGAGCACACACAAGUCAGUAGUGUGGUGUGAUUUUUGUACACGCCACAAGUAUCGAGACUAGUGGUGGCGUGCUGUUACACAACAGGCCACCAAUAACAUUUGCCUAUAUAAGUGUUGGCAGACUCUCCUUCUUCCUCAAAUAAUAUCACUUCUUUCUCCACCAAAAAUCUUCUCCCUAGCUAGCUGCUCUUAGUUUUUGUUCUUCCCCUCCUAGCUACGUGGCAUGUAAUGGACCCAUCAGAGCUUGUAGUAUCAACAUGAGCCCCACAUGCGAGCUCACGUCGACCGAGAGUGUCAAAAGAGUGGGGCCCAAACGCCUUGGCUGAGCUCUCCUCCCCCUGUUGGCUCGGUCAUGAUCUCAUUCUCACCACCAUUCCCUAUGCAGCCGACCAUGUCUGGCGGAUCAUCCCGCUGCAACAGCGCAACAGAUCGAUCAGCCGGAAAAUCUACACCACCGUAAGCAAAGCGGCCCGGAAUCUAGUGAGGGCAUCCGUGCUGCUUUGCGUCUGCCAAUGCCCUCUUGAUAAGUAAACUUUGUGCACACUAUGGAAUCCAGAACGAGAGUUCUUCAUCUGUGCUCGCCGUGGAAAUGUAUAUGACAGAAAAUCCCUCGAUCUGUUACAACAAAUUGGCACAUGCAUUCAAAUCUAGCAUUGCUCACAUAAUUGUGUGUAUACAUAUCUGUAGAAGGAGUCUCUUGCCACACAUGGACAUGGGUUGAUCUCGUGCAGAAAUACGUAAGCGAGUUGCUUGAGUACUACCAUGGACUACUGAGACAACAACUAGAUGAGAUACAAAUAAAAAAUUGAUGAGACCCAAGCCGAAAACGACUAGACGCGAGGCAAGAUAAAAAAAAUUCAAGAAGCUUCGAUGUCGACAUUUAGCUUGUGUUAUGAUUGUGCUCGUUCUGCUAGCUGGAUGGGUCGGUGACAUCGUUUCUUCUUGUGGGAGUAAUUGUGAUAAUUAUAUUGUUAAUUUAGACAGCUAGCUAUAUCAAGAAAUGGUUACUAGUUAUUGUUUAGCCUUUAGUUAUUAUGUAAGUGGAUUAGUGAUGUUGUUCUUCUAAUUCUGAAGUCUUUAACUAUUUAACUAUGUAUAGUGUACCUAGAGCAGAAAAAUAAAUAAGGUAACAUAAAAAAGUAUCAAAAAUAAAAAGGUAACAUACAUAAAUAGAAGAAUUGAUUAAACAUUAACGUUAAAAACCUAAAUUAAAAUAACCUACAUAAAACCUAAUUUUAAUAUAAAUUAAACAAAAUGUAAAUAAAAAAUUGACCCAAAAAUAAAAUUGAAAUAAAAAAUAUAUAUAUUAAAAAUAAACAAAAACAUAUUGAUGGUGUGGGCUGCUCCAGCCCACGCCACCAUCCUAGCACACCCACUCUUUAACCCCCCACACCCCCAAUCUCUCCCUAAUUCCUCAUUCUCCAUGCUCACGCCGCCGCCGCACCCCAAGCUGCCACACCGCCGCCCCACCGCCAUCUACGCCAGUGACACCACCUCCUUCGUCUGUUAGCACCUCCGCCUUUGUCGCCGUCUCGGUCUCCGCCCGCCCACAAUGAGCACCGACCCCGGCCCCUUUUUUUAGUGUAAUUUAGUUGUGUUGGUGAAAUUUUUAAUGUAAAUUUAGUGAGGUUUUAGUGUAGGUUUUAGUGUAGUUGUUAGUGUAGUCUUAGUGCAAUUUAGCUAAUUUUUAGUGUACAUUUAGUGUAGGUUCUAGUGUAGUUUUAGUGUAACUAGCACAACGACCCUCUGAAAUGCAGAUAUGGUUUAUGACCACCUCAAAUGUUAUGCUAAAUAAAUUAUCAUGCAUGAAGGUUAUAUUUAAUUUUGUGUGACAAAUAAAUAUGUCAUUCCCCCUCUAGGUACGAUGAUAGAGUUUUGGUGGCAGGACUCCACCUAGCAGGGUUCGUAUCCUUUUACUCACAUUCAUACUAUUUAUACUAUAUGAUGCUUCCAUCUUUGCCGUAUGAAGCUAAGGUUUCAUGUACGGUUUUGAAAUAGCCCCAUAACAAUAGUGUUUAUUCAAGAAAACAUUGUUGUUCCGUGUCUUGGACUAACCAUCCCUUAGAAGGUAUUCUUACGACAUCUCCAACGUGGACCCUCAAACCACCCGCAUACGUUCNNNNNNNNNNNNNNNNNNNNNNNNNNNNNNNNNNNNNNNNNNNNNNNNNNNNNNNNNNNNNNNNNNNNNNNNNNNNNNNNNNNNNNNNNNNNNNNNNNNNNNNNNNNNNNNNNNNNNNNNNNNNNNNNNNNNNNNNNNNNNNNNNNNNNNNNNNNNNNNNNNNNNNNNNNNNNNNNNNNNNNNNNNNNNNNNNNNNNNNNNNNNNNNNNNNNNNNNNNNNNNNNNNNNNNNNNNNNNNNNNNNNNNNNNNNNNNNNNNNNNNNNNNNNNNNNNNNNNNNNNNNNNNNNNNNNNNNNNNNNNNNNNNUGUCCGCUUCUGGCUGGCCUGGCACGCCCAAAAAUCCCACCGCCUAUCCCGCGCCGCUUGCCACUACGCAUUCAUGCCAUCCCAGUGCAUGAAGUGGCCGACAUUGAUGCCCGUGAUUUGACCAAAUAGGGGGAUGGGGACGCACUGACGAACGUGACCUCUUGGGUCACCGCUUCAAUGCAGACGCCACGUCAUGAGAAACCAACUCCGCCCCCUACGCAACCGUGACCUCCACAUCGGAGGCCACAUGAAGGACAAACCCGUGUACCCGCCGCGCAACCGCGGCCUCCACAUCGGAGGCCACGUGAUAGACGAGCCCGUGUCCGCUCCAGCACCUCCGCCUGGUCAAAGACGAGCCGGUGUUGCCCCCAGCGCCAGCUGACACGCCCACAUUGACAGGCCGUCUCUGCCGCCACAUCAUAACCGCCAGCCGGUCAAGAAGGAGGAGCUGCCGCCCGCGGUCAAGAAGGCGCAUGGCCGCAUCUUCCACUACCUCGAAGGAGGUGGUUACGGCAAUGCCUCUGGAUCGUGGGCCAUCGUAUCCGAGGAGGAGCGCACAGCGAGCAUGGUACGACCAGUGCAAUGCUGGUCGCCGCUCCGGGUUCUCUAAGAGCGACAUGGCGCCGGAAUGUGUCUGCAACGACUCGGACUUCACUGCCGCGUGGGCGCUCGACCGCUCCGUCACCAGCGCGAAGACGGCCGCCAGGACCGCCGCCGCGUCGACAGCGAGCUCGCCAAGGUUGGCGAGAAGUGGUCGAUUAGCGACUGCUCCGCCAGCGCCUGCAGGGGCAAGGUCGCCCUCAGGGCUCCGCCGAUGUCCGCGGCAAUGGCCAAGGUGGCCCUGCACACCGCGCAACAGCAGGCGGACCGGCUCCUCCGUGAGCGGCAGGCAGCCGCCGGACAAGGCUGCCGCGGCCCUUCGGCGCCACUGGAGGGACGACUCCGUGGACGAAGACGACUGUGUGGCAGGACAGGGCAGCCACACAUAUGAGGUGGUUGUCCAGUAUUAGCUUUAGGUUUUUCUUAUAGUUCUUAGUUGAACGGUCGAAAUAUCGCCCGUUAUGUAAAUUAUAUCCAAACAUUAAUGAAAUCCAAAGUUUUUGCAUGAGUUUCGUCCAGAUUAGUUGAACUGUGUUUGAAAUGUAUGGGGCAGCGUUGGAUGGCCAUCUUCUGCAUCCGUGUCCGUGGACUGAUCCCCAUGUUCGCGAACGGAUGCCAGAGGGAAUUUCCAGGAAAGCGUUGAUGAUGCCUUUAAAAGAUCCUCAAUUCAAAUUGAUGUAGUAGUGGCUUGAUGGAAGCUGGGAGUCUUUAGCUAAUGCAAUAUAUGGGCAGUAAACGGCGGCAGUAACUCAAACUGUUUUAAGUUAGCGAAAUUCCUUGUCGCUAUACGAGGGUUGCCUAGUCUGCCGCAAAAGUGGGCACUUUUCUUCCUAGAUUAUGAAGAUCCGCCAUAUCUUCCUUCAAGUCAGAGAAUUGAGAUAGAACAACUUCGCCUUUGGCACCGUCCACUCUUUGGGAAAAGGAGGAAAAUCACUCUGAUCUCUAAUUCCGCAGCUCGCUUUGUAGGAAUGUACAAAUCCUGGUCAGUUGGUAAACAUAAGGGCACCGUACGAACUUUUAUGCAACGAUUGGGUUCGGCAUUUUCAGAAAAUUCUUUUACGGAAGAGGGAGUACCAAGGUUUUUUUUUUCAUUACCGAUUUUUUCUGGGCUCGGGGAGGAAAGACCAGUUUCCAAAAAAUCUCAGAAUUUUUGGAUUUUUUGUCUGAAUUUUUCGAACAAAAAUUGAAUUUAAAAAAAUUAGCAUCAAGAUAUAUUUAAUUCAAAUCUGUGUAUUUACGAACUGCUUCCUAGCUCGUUGGACAACUCAUCUCUUCUCAAGCAUAAGGGCGCAUGUUCGUGUCCUGUCGAGUGUAGCACUGCAGCCAGUCCCCAGGCGAACUGGCCAAGGCCCAGGCCGAAUAAGGUUAUGUCUAACUGCUUGCGCGCGCAACGCGUAUCCCUUCCGUCCGUUCUCACUCGGAUCCAUGCAGCUGGUCCACCCGGGGCCCAUGCAGGCGCUGCGCGCAUGUAGAGCACACUUUCAUAUCCGGCAUGCAGAGGUAGGUUUGCUUUUCCCAUGGUGUGACCCGUUUCUUCUAUAAAAUAUAAAUCUAUUUUUUGUUUCUUGCUGCUCCCCUUUCUUCCCUCAUUUUUUAUUUCCUUUGUGUUUUAAGCAAAAUCACUGUAGAGUUUUAUUAACUCCCUACUUGAACUUUAACUUCAAAUUAUAAAGAACUUUUUAUAACCAUUUCAUAAAUUACUGGACUUUGCUGGAAACAGUGAAGAACUUUUCAUUUUAAUUGUAAAGUGCUAAAUAAAUAGAAUCGGGAGUUGAAGAAUUUUAUAAAUAGUGGAUUUGCACUUUGUUAUAAACAUUGAAGAACUUUGCUAGAAAAAAGUAUCAGGGAACGAAGAACUUUAUAAACAGAUUGCUUGAACUUUGAUGAAAAAAUUAUGAAACUGUUUGAGCCAUGUCCAAUCUAAUUUUAUCUUGGACUCCAAAUUUAGUUUGGAAUAUAUCGAUAUUGGACUUGUUUCGUAGAGUUGGUUGUGAGAAUCUCAAAAACAUAAACGGAUUUAAAUUUGCAAAAUUUAUUUUAAAGUUAUGCUCACAAGUUUGUUUAAUGUGUAAUUUUGUUUAGAAGGGGAUAGCAUGUGCUAGCCGCAGCAUGCACACAUGGGCCCCAAAGGAAUCUACUGCAUGUGACCCAGCUUUUCAGAUGGUGGCCCGUAUCCCUAUGCAUGCAUGGUGAAGGGAGCUCCUAAUUGGCGCUGCAGGCGCCGUGGAACCGAACGGGCGCCUACAGGCAGCACUAGUGGGCCGGCCCACGGACGAAAGAACAAAGCAGAGCAGUAAACGUCUCGCAACAAAAAACGCUAAAAUACGUAAGAAACCCGACUUGAACCCGCUCCUCGAAAUUGAAGUAUUGCUCAGCUAACCAGUAGACUACGGGAAGACUACUGAUUUAUUACAAACGCAAACGCAUUAAGUACCAUAAGAGCCGCGCUAGUUAUUACGCACUUUUGAACUAUUCAUCUUUUUAAAGUCGAUAUUUUUAAUGAAAAUAAGUUCAUAAAUUUUGGAAAAAGUUCAUCGAAUUUGAAACAAAAGUUCAUCGAUUAGAAGAAAAAGUUCAUCAAAUUUCAAAUUAGUUCAUUGAUUUCGAAAAAAGUUCAUUGAUUUUGAAAAAAGUUCAUCGGUUUUCAAAAAUAGUUCAUCGAAUUUGGAAAAAGAGUUCAUCAAAACUGAAAAAAGUCCACCGAUUUUGAAAAAAAGUUCAUCAAAAUCGAAACAAAGUUCAUCGAAUUUGUAAUUUUUUAAUCAUUUUUUAAAGUAAUCUAAUGAAAAAAGUUCAUCAAUUAAGAAAAAGAGGUUCACGAAAUGUGAGAAACAAUCGCGCAUUAAAGAAAACAAAAAAAAAAUGGACAGAAAAGGAUAAAGGAACAAAACGAACUCAAGAGCUCAAUAAAAUAAAGAAGGGAAGAAGAUUUACACGAGCGGGACGGUGGUCUGUUGGUUAGCGCGUAACCCGCGCAGCGAAGCGG
rnacentral:lncRNA from 1 species